rnacentral:lncRNA from 1 species
CCCUCCUCUACUUUGAGUUGCACCAUGCUUUGUUUCAGAUUCAUCCACCCAUGGGUGAUACAUGGCAAGUUAGGGGUUGCUGCAGUUUGAGGUUAAUCCCUUGAUUGGCUGCUGUUUAGGGUUGAUUGGCUCAGUUGGCUGCUAGACUUUAGGCGUGCAUACAUGGGUAUGACGUGCUCUGCACAUUUAGGAUUGAAGUAUUGUGUUGCAGCACUCAGUGACGUUAAUUUAGGGCAUUUCAGUGUCAGUUCCACUAUAUUUAGGGGGACAUUUAAUAGUGCAAUUUCAUGGUUAUUACAGUGUAAUUUCAAGGUUCUUGCACUGUAAGUUCAGAGAAUUACAAUGUUAGUUUAUGUGAAUUCCCGUGCAUUUUACUGUGUAAUUUAAGUGCAAUGGAAAUUAUAGUGUAAAUUUAGUGUAAUUUACUAUGUAAAUUUAAGGAAAUUACACUGUAAUUCGUGUGCAACUUUUAGUGUAAUUUACAGUGUAAUUUCAACGGGUUUACAGUAGAGUAAUUUAAGUGUAAUUACAGUGUGCACUUUAGAGCAAUCAUACUAUAUAUUUAGUGAAUUUAAAGCAUCACUCCAUACCUUUCGCGUUUGUCUUUUUUCUCUACAAGUUACUGCUAUACUGUUGAUUGAUUCUACCCUUGCGUAAGAAACUUUGAUGAGCACAUAAUUUUCUACUAUGUAAUUUGAGCAGCUUGGUAACCGUAAUUUUCAGUUUCCUUUGACCCUAGGCCCUUGUGCUUUAGAAUUGCUAUUUUUUGUCAGUGUACAUGCUAGAUCAUGUGGUUUAUGAUACUUCUCUGGUCCUUAUAAACAAAGUGACAUGUUUGUGCCGUGGAAUAGAAAGAAUAUUUCAGUGUCUCUCUUUAGGCCUUUUGUCGAAUUGUUAUGUGGUCCAGCGCAGCCUUACGAAACCGGGUUCUAUGCAGUUCAUGUACAGUGCAAAACUCAUUAUUGCAGGUCAGGCCUGUUGCAUGUUUUUGGUCAUUGACAUGCAGGAAAGAAGGAAAAAGGACAUAGAAGUAUCAUUUUGUUAUUGGUCAAGAAAUUUGAAUAAUGUCCAACUGAUUUCAGUUGAAUGACAAAUAGACAAUCCCUUGUUUAAUCAGUAGAUAUACACCAUUAACUCAAAUAGCAAAGAAAUACUAGUCCACUUAUAAUCGACGAUUGCGCAUGAUGCAUCCAUCCAUUCUAUCGGAGAGGCUGUGUUUUUUUUUCUUCUUGUGCUAAGGUUGAUAGCAUCACAUAUCUUAUGCUUUUGUUUCUCAAGUAGAGCCUUGAGAUAGAUGUGUCUGCAACCGUCCUCGAAUGGUUGUGCAAUAAUAAUGGUCCUAGCUAAUUACUAGUAUGCAUUGCUUAUAAAACAACUUGCUGCUCAUUUCACUUUGAGUAUGCUGUUGCUGCUAAAGUAGCAACAACAACAGCCAUGCUUUGGUUCCCCAAAAUUCAGAUGGCACUGACAUCUCUACAUACACACACAUAUGAAUAUGCACCUUGGUUUGGUUCAGUUUGCAUGUGUACCGUUUCUUUAACUUUGACUGAAACUAUCUUGGUGGCACUUGCAUCAAUGUUGUGCUCUACCCUUGUAUAUGUCCUUGGAGAAGAUGACCAUUGGACUGUAGGGGACGAACAACCUUGUCCUGCUCGAGGAGGAGGAGGAUGGCCACCCCGAGCUCGAGGACGACACGACAACAGGUAGCACUCACCUCCCUACCAAGGUGAAGGUCCGAUCCGCCUGUUUAGAUGGUCUGCUCUUGUCUUGUGAUCUGAGGGGAGAAGAAAGCCAUUGGCCUCAAUUAUAUUUGCAUGUGAGGGGAGCGAUCCUUUUGGUAGAUGCAGAGUAUAGAUUAGAUAUUCCACAAAACUCACCACACGAGUAUACUACCUAUAUCCACAAAAUUCACCACACGAGCAUACUACCUAUGUCCAAAUGUGGGUGUGAUACUUUCAACAUGAAACAUGAAUAUCAGGUUGGGAGUUUGGAGUUUAAUCAAAUAACGCAGCAAGGCGAUCAUCGGUAGGGAUGCACCUUUGAGGCGGCAAGGAGAGCUUCUCAAAGGCAGUACACAUGGCUUAUUACUGCUUGUAUGUGAGUACGCAGAUGUGGAGUCUAUGGAUAGAGGGUUAGGGGCGCAACGCAAGCAGCAGUAGGGGAUACACAACCUGAUUUGAUUUGGUCAAUCACGGGGAAAUGGGAGAAGGCCUAGGGUGCAAAGUUUGGAUCGGUGGGUUGGUAGCGUUAGGCAUAAUAGAGAUCAAACUUUUUCAUAGGCGUAUGUAGGUUAUUUCCUUGAAGCAUUUUAUCAAAAUGGUGUAGGUGGGUAAUAUCUCUCAACUUAAAUGUGAAGGGAAGAUAUUAUUUCCUUGUAGAGGCCGAGGAAUACAUGGCGUACCGCUACAUAUGCAACCAUGAUUUUUUGUGGAUGGUUACGAGAGAACCUGAAAUAUACCAUGGACCGAAGCAUGGGCACAUGAAGUUCCAACACCGAAGGGUAAGGAGACGGGCCCGCGUCAUUUACGUCGGGAAUAUGCGACCUUGAUUCUUUGUGGAUGGUGAUGCCAAGACUAUAGGAUAAGGUGGAUCCGGACACAUGAGCAGAUGAAGUGCCUGACACGAAGUAGGUUAAGGAGCUGGACCCAAGUCAUCUACACCGCAAAUUGGUCGAAGGUGUGCCGUGAAUGAUAGAUGUACUUGAGGGGGGAGAAAGCCUGUGAAAAGAACAUACGGUUGCUCGAUGAUGACACAUGUCUUGAGAGGAUGGCGAGAACCCUAGAUAUGGUUAAGGCAUGCCACGAGAACAUCACCCCGGUCGCGAGAUUCUCAGUGGUGUGCGGCAACCGAAGCCAAAAGGGCACCCCCGCAAGACCUUGAAACGCCAGAGCGGUGGGCGCACAAGCAAUGGUGAGGAAAAUCACAUAAGGUACCAAGCAAGGCCAUCCUGAUCAGGGCUCCAUUGCCAAGCUUAUGUCCACCACUGCGAUUUAGACAAAUUUUCAACUGGCGUCUCUGUCUUCUCAAGAUUUCCACGGUCCCAUCAGGAUGUAUAUAUAUACUUUGUUUAUUUUGAAAAUUAAUAUAUCACCAAAGAAAUUUUAGUACUUGUCAUUCUUUUAAUUACUUAGUAGUUUGCAUGAUAGACUCAAUCUUAUAUUUACUAAUUAGAGGCACCAAAUAAGCGACCACGUUAAUCCUCAAAAACUAAGAAUAGUAUCCAUCCGAUCUCCAUAUUAAGUAUCUGUAGCCGUCCAUUGGACAACUCAAGAGUCCGUUGUUACUAUCCCACGUCAUGCUCGAUGUAAUGUGAAAAAAAAUCAUCUCCUUGGCCAAAUCCAUCCCACGUCAUGCUCCAUGUAAUGUGAAAAAAAUCAUCUCCCCGGCCAAAUUCUUCCUCCCCCGGUCUAUCAUGUGAGGCACUUGCGCAUCAUCCACAAAUCCCUAGCGCAAAUCCAUCCCACGUCAUGCUCCAUGUAAUGUGAAAAAAAUCAUCUCCCUGGCCAAAUUCUUCCUCCCCCGAUCUAUCAUGUGAGGCACUUGCGCAUCAUCCACAAAUCCCUAGCGCUACUCUUCCAGGUCAUCCUCCUCCUUCCUAUCUUUUGCUGUCUUAAUGCAAAACAAUUCCGUGAGAUCCUUGUGAUCCUCUUCAUAUUCACGUAGAAAUCUGAACUGUCCCAACCACGCUGCAGAUCUGUGGUCCGUCUUGGACAAAGAGAAGGCCCUUUCAAUCUCCACAGAUGCCAUGCCCCAACCAAACCACAACCCAUGAUAAACGAUGUUGUUGAGAAGGAGGCGCUACCUAAGUCUGAUCGGACAUAUUCCAUUGUUGGGGAAGCUACAAGUCGAAGAACUAUGGUAGACUGAUUGCAGGUAAUUAAGGAGCUAGCAACGAUCCAGUAGGUUUUUGUUAUUAGGAAUUUUUAUGUAGUGCGACUUGAUCUCGAAGAACAAGUACACCAUUAGAGUUCGUUUUGGAGGAUUUUGAUGAUGUGCGCUUAGUUACAGACUUAUCUAAAUACGUAUAACUAGGAUGGACAAUAUUUGUAGGAGCCAUACAAUCCAAUUAGGGGAUUCAGUUUGUCAAAGAUGUUUCCACAUAUCCCUAGCGCUGCUCUUCUAGGUUGCCCCCUGCUUCCUAUCUACGGUCUUCAAGUAAAGCGAUUUAAUGAGUCUCUUGCUGCAGAAAUUCCAACUGCCACAAGAAGGCUGCAGACCUGCGGUUCAUCUUGGCUGAGGUGUCAUACAAUCCAGUUAAGGGAUUCCAUUCAUUGAAGAUGUGGUUGUACUUUCGCACAACAAACUCAAGCACAUCUUCUUAUGUUCUUAGAAACUGGAUGAGUUGUUUUGGACUUUCUUUGGUCUACUCCUCUAUGCUUCUUGUUGGGAAAGUUAGUAUGCAAAAGUUAUGCCCAUCUUCUUAAAUUCGGAUGUAACUUUUCGAGUAGAUGAUUUUUCAUAUAAAAAACUUUUUCAUCCGAGUUAGUAUGCAAAAGUUAUGCCCAUUUUUACAAAUUUCAGAGAGAUUUUGCAAAUAAAGUCAAAAUUCACAUUUGCAAAUUUUCCCAACAACUAGACCACAUAUCACAUGGGAAACUUAUUUUCUUUUAUUUUUUUGACAUUUCCAUCAUUUUCUUUUAUUUUUUUAAAANNNNNNNNNNNNNNNNNNNNNNNNNNNNNNNNNNNNNNNNNNNNNNNNNNNNNNNNNNNNNNNNNNNNNNNNNNNNNNNNNNNNNNNNNNNNNNNNNNNNNNNNNNNNNNNNNNNNNNNNNNNNNNNNNNNNNNNNNNNNNNNNNNNNNNNNNNNNNNNNNNNNNNNNNNNNNNNNNNNNNNNNNNNNNNNNNNNNNNNNNNNNNNNNNNNNNNNNNNNNNNNNNNNNNNNNNNNNNNNNNNNNNNNNNNNNNNNNNNNNNNNNNNNNNNNNNNNNNNNNNNNNNNNNNNNNNNNNNNNNNNNNNNNNNNNNNNNNNNNNNGGCACGAACCGGGACUAAAGGUCUCAACCCCAUUAGUCCCGGUUCGUGCCUCAAACCGGGACUAAAGGUCUAAUCUUUAGUCCCGGUUUGAGGCACGAACCGGGACCAAUGGUUGUGGGCCAGAAGCAAGGCCCAUUGGUCCCGGUUCAUCCCACCAACCGGGACCAAAAGGUCCAGAUGAACCGGGACCAAUGGCCCACGUGGCCCGGCCGGCCCCCUGGGCUCACGAACCAGGACCAAUGCCCCCAUUGGUCCCGGUUCUGGACUGAAACGGGACUAAUGGGCUGACCCGGCCUGGACCAAAGCCCUGUUUUCUACUAGUGAGUCCAAUCUUGUGUUUAUUCCUCCAUGUCGGCAAAGAGUCAGUAGUCAAUCUCCAAGCAAAAUUGCGCACAGUGGGGGGUACAUCACAUCUCCAUAUAUAUUGCCAGCAUUUUCUACUACCAUCUGGCGAUGUGCUAGACGCCUCUGCAGUAUUUCUGUGAGCUACUUCCAAAGCCAGCAUAUAUGUUGAUUUGACCGUGAAGACGCCGAGCUUCCCCGGCCCCCAUGCAAUCACAUCCUCACCUAAUCUUGGAGAUUCCCGUAUCUUUAAGAUUUCUUCCACAUCAGCUGAUAAGAAGUACUGCUGAAGAAGUACCAAGUUCCAAGAACCAUUAUCAUUUAGCAAGUCGGACACAAAAUGAAUGCGACAUCUUCCCUGCAGCGACAUGGGUUUGUAUGAAAAGGGCCUUGGAAUCCAGUUAUCUGUCCCCUUUGUUGGUAGUCAGAGUCACUAGGACAACUAACUGUGUUAGCAUCUAGAGUUGUAACAAGCCACAGUCCGCCUAUCUUGGUUGCGCAGCGAUGAUGCUACCAUCUCUUACUACAAAGUACAUGCCUUGCACCGGAAACAUCGCAACCAUAUGACAUCUAUCCGAGUGGGCGACCACGUGGUGACCGGGCAUCAGGCCAUGGCUGAGGCUGCCUACAACCACUUCUCCGAUGUGCUCAGAAGUGCCACGGAGCAUGACAUCACGCUUGAUCUCCGCGUUUUGCGUGUUCAACACAAUGCUACUCCGUGCGGUGGACCUAGGCCUUCUUCGACGCCUUACCACUCGGCACGCGGCCUCGAGUAUAUCUCUAUACGCAGACGAUGUUGUCAUCUUUUGUCACCCGGACAGCCAUGACAUUACCACCGUGUGAACCAUCCUGCACAUAUUCGGGCUUCAUACAAACUUCGCCAAGUGUUCUGCCACCCCGAUCCGGUGCGAUGAUGACAACAACAUGAUGAUCACAUCUGAGAUGCAGUUCCCCAUCACAUACCUCGGGUUGCCUCUUUCUGUCUACAAGGCCUCCACGACUAGCUUGCUCCCGAUCAUCGACAAGCUCGGCCAAAAGCUCUCCACUUGGCAUGCUUCCAUGAUGUCCAACGGGCAACGGCGACCGCCUUGCUCUCAUGCAUCACGUACUUAGUCCUAACCCGACAUACUUCCUCACCGCCUUUGCUCUCAACCAAUCCAUCCUCAAGAAAUUCAACCGCAUCAUCUGCGGAUUCCUUUGGGCGGGAGGCACCGAAGGCAAUGGGGGUCAGUGUCGUGUUAACUGACAGCAAGUUUGCCGGCCAAUCUCUCUUGGCGGUCUUAGCAUCAGGGACAUUCAAAGGACCGGCAUCACCCUCCGUGCGUGGUUGCUUUGGUUACAGUGCACCGACCCCUUGCAACCCUGGAGCCACUUACACAUACCUCACGACCCAGACGUGACUGCCAUCUUCAGCGUGUCUACGACCUGGGAUCUUGGGUCCGGCGUCACCUGCAGAUUCUGGUCCGACCACUUGAUAGAGGGUAGAUCCGUGGCUGAGAUCCCCCCAGUCCUCGCCUCGUCCCUCAACGCCGAUGCAAGACUCGCACCGUUCGCGAGGGCCUCCACCUUAGAGCCUGGGUGCAAGAGAUUCAUGGAGCACUCGGACCGACGGCCAUGUUGCAAUAUGUUGAUCUUCAGCGUCGUGUGCGCCACAUUGACCAGAUGGGUCGGAUACACUCAAAUGGCGCUGGACCGCCUCCGCUAUGAAAUGUCUAUGAUGGGAGAAUUUAAAUUCUUCUUAGGUCUUCAAAUUCUUCAACAGCGCAAUGGCAUCUUCAUAUUUCAGGAGAAAUACCUCAAGGAUGUAUUGUGGAAAUUCGGCAUGAAAGAUUGCAAAGGCGUCAAAAUCCCUAUGCCCACAAAUGGCCAUCUAUGCACUGAUGAAAAUGGUAUUGACUUUGAUCAAAAGGUAUACCGCUCCAUGAUUGGUUCUUUAUUGUAUUUAUGUGCAUCUAGGCCAGAUAUUAUGCUUAGUGUUUGCAUGUGUGCCCGAUUUCAACCUACACUGAAGGAAUCACACGAUAAGGCUGUGAAGCAUAUUCUUUGUUAUCUAGCUCACACACACCAACACUUGGAUAUGGUAUCCCAAGGGCUCGGCUUUUGAUCUCAUUGGGUACUCACUCUGACUAUGCUGGUGAUCCUGUGGACCGCAAGUCAACAUCAGGCACAUGCCAUUUCCUCAGACGAUCCUUGGUCUGUUGGUCCUCGAAGAAACAGAACUACGUAUCCUAACACUUGUGCAAAGUUGAUGACUUAGACGUGCAACACACGAAGAAACGUUUUUCUUCAUUCAAUGAAGAUUAACACUCUAAGUGUGAAGAAAUUAACGAAGAAUUUGAUUCUCAGAGCCCUUCAACAAUUGUACAUGGUGUUUGAAAUCAUCAUUCUUAUACGGUGGAUCACGCCACCACCAAAAGUUGAAAAUCUUGAAUUUGAGUUUUUACUCAUUUUUGAAUUUCCUCAGUUGUUCAAAUUCUUCAACUUUUCAAUGUCUUCACUCUUUCCGUUGUUGUUCUUCAUUGGCUAUAUAUAUAUAUAUAGGGUGGGUCUAUUAUGAUAACACCCUUCAAGACCCUUAUUCUGCUAACACCCAGCUUAUUCUGCUAACACUACCUACCUCACCGUAGCUACAGACUAACCCAAAAAAACAACUGGACCGAACUGCUCGCGCAAAGGGAAAACCCAACCGACCUUAUCUUCUCAUACCCACUCCCCCCAAUUCCCUCUCUAUCUCUCCCGCAACCUCCCUUGCACGGACGCCGCCUAACCACCACCUCCCAUGUGCCGCCGCGCUGCGACCUCCUCUGCGCCGCCGCGCCGCGACCUCCUCUGUGCGGCCGAGUCCGCUCCCCGGCGACUCCCGAUCCGCAGCUCCCCCCAUCGCCCCUGCCUUCCUCUGCGCGCCGCCGCUCCAGGUCGCGGCCACUGCGUUCCACCAACAGCAGCACAUCAGUACGGCGGUAGUGCGGCCCCGCUUCCAUUCCUCCAUGGCCGACCCCCUACCUCCCACCUUCUCCCUCCCUCCCCGAUCGACAACCUCCAUCACCGCCCCGGUCAUGUUGCCCCUCCCGACCCCGCGCCGCCGGAUCCGGGCAACCACGCCGGCGUGCCCUUCCACGAGCUUUCCCGUCGUGACCCUACCACGAGCUGCUCCAGCCCGACCCUGCUUCUUCAACAACGGCACGGUGGCAACUCUCCUUAGUUCUCUCCUGCACCGGGUUCGCGAGCUCCGUUCACGGGCUCGCCGGAUCUCGUGAUUGGGGCGCUGGCGACGUGCUCUCCUACUCCACCGCGCCCCUCCUCUACUUCAGCUCAUGUGCCUGUGCCUCUCGUGGACUCAUCGGCGCACAGGCCGCGCUGGAUCCAUGCUAGUUCGAGGCCCCGACGGCCUCCUCUUCCUGCUAAGCCGCCGAGAUCCGUCGGGGUAUCAAGUUGUUUUGUCGGCCCAAUACUCCUUCUACCUUCCCUUGCCGGCGGUCGUGCAACUUCGGUGAACACCGCUACUCGCGCGCGGAUGACGACGGCUUAGUGGCACUGCAGUUCGCUUUGCAGGGGAUCCGUUGAUGCGGCCGUGGAGUUCGGCCCACAGGUGCAUGAAGUUAUCUUGCCCCCCUCCCAUAGUUUACCCUUCCGCAUGAGCCCCAUGCUGUAGUCCAUUGGGAAGAAGCUCGUGGUGCGGAUGCUCAGUGACAGUGCUGGUGCGUUUCAGAUUUUGUUUUUCUGCAAUUUGUAGGCGACGCUGGAGCCUUGCAGUCCAUUGGCUCGGGGGAGAGCAGUGGAGAGGACACACGUGCGUGUAGUUCCCUGUCCAUUGAAAAUGUAGAAGCCCAUCUUGCUGCAGUGUAUGUGAGCAUAUGGCCUGCAAGUGCUGCUCUUUUCCCAGAUUGAAAACAUUGCGGUGUGGUUGGCUGGCCAUCGACGUGCACUUCGCUUUGGGGGGCAGUACGUUCUUUGUGGAUGUGCACUUCGUUUGGCCCGAGCGGCAUGAAGCUCCAUUUGCGCGCAUGUGUGGCUCGGCUAACUAGUUUGUGCAGUUCGCAUGAUACCUUUAUUAUGUGAUGCCUCCCUAGUUGCUGGAGUUCACUUCUUUGUAUUUAUUGAAACAUCAUGUAGUGCACUGUGAAACUCUCUGUUGUUCACUUGUAAAAACAAAUAGCGGUUCCCUUUGUAAAAAAAGUGCAGCCCCUUAGUGGUUCACCUUGUAGAAAAUGAGAAAGAAAUCCCCAUGGGAGGUUCACUUCUUUUUCCAAUGCAUUUUGUUUUGUUUGUGGGAUGAUUGAAAAAAGAAGUUCACUCCACUUGUUUAGUAGCUCAUACCCCUUUGUAUGAAAUGCAAUUUGUUUCGUGUGUCUCAAAAUCAGUCGACUACAUCAACACGUGCAGUGCGUUUGGUUUUUGGAUGUGGUUCAUUUUUUAGAGUGAUGUUGUUCACUUGUGCCGAACAUGAAAGCACAAAAAAAAUUAGCAAAACAAUAAAAAUAGUAAUGCGGUUCACUAUGAUAUAUGAUGUGGUUCGCUUGCUCGCGUCUCUGCGGUCCACUCUUGUUCAUAAAAAAAUUGAAAAAAACCAUCAAAAACUCGUCCGAGAAAAAUUUACAUCCGACAAAGGAAACCAUGAAGUUCACUUGCCUGUCUGAUGCAGUGCGGUUUCAUCCGAUGCAGUGCGGUUUUCUGUCGAAUGACGUUCACUCACCGAUUUGGGUGUCGCAAAAAACAGUGUCCGCAUAUUCGUAAUUUUAAAAUUUCUUUUAAACCGUAAGGAAUUAGAGAGAGUGUUCUACAUGAAAAAGUUGCGUCUCGUCGAUAUCUUUCCAAUGCCAUAUCAUUUGAAUCAUUUUGACAAGCAGUUUGUAAAAGUUUGGCAAAAAACGACUGCUGCCACUCAUCGUCCGCCGCACCAUUUUAAAAAUUAACUUAAAACCGUAGGGAAUCUCGAAACCAUUUCUACAUAUGAAAGUUGCGCCUUGUCCAUAGCUUUCCAACGAUGUAUUACACGCCUCAGUUCGAUAAACGGUUCAAAAACUAGAGUGAAAACAGUAUCGAACAUUGCAAAAAAUUUCAAAAACGUAAUUUCGCGAUUUAGUAAAUUUGAAACUGCUCAAAACCGAAACGAAUUAGAGAAAAUAAUAGGUAUGGAAAAGAUGUGCCUCAACGAUAUCUUUCCAACGGCGUAUCAUUUGCUUUAUUCCGAUGAGCGGUUUUGAAAAAAUCAUGAAAAUACGCUCGCUGCCACUCGUCAUCUGCAGCACCGUUUUUGAAACUGCUCUUAAACCGCGAGGAUCUUGAAAAGUGUUCAACAUGGCAAAGUUGCGCCUAAUCCAUAGCUUCUCCAGGUAUAUUACACGCAUCAUUCUGAUAAAUGGUUAAAAAAUUAGAGCGAAAAAACUACUAAAAAUACUGCAGCACACUUGGUUCAAACAAUGACGUGCACUUGCGUUGAGCGUGCACUUCGGAAGUGUUAUCAGAAUAACUAUUCUGCUAAUAUUAGCAUAAUAGACAGACUGUAUAUAUAUAUACAUCUGGUUACCCUAUGAUGAAUUCAAGCGGUUGAACUGAUGCUUUCUGUUCCUGUUAAAAAUCGUCUUUUUUAGUUCAAAAGUUUUUACAAUUUUUUUAUCAAAAUAGGGCGUGUAAUAUAUCAUUGGAAAGCUCUUGACAUCCACAUUACAAUAUUAUAAUUUUUUUUUGCAAAAAAAUUAAGAUUUACGAGCAGUUUUGAAAAAACCGUUUUUUUUUCAAACUGAAAAUGCGAAUCGUAUUUUGGACUUAAUUUUCAAACGGUUUGUUGGAAUUGAGCAAAUGAGAUGGCAUUGGAAAGCUUGUGAAAAUCCGCAUCUUCUAUAUUUCUACUAUUUUUUCAAAUUCUAUACGAUUUAAAAGUAAUUUGAAAAAGAGUGAAAUUCUGGGUGAAAUGUUUUUUCACUAUUUUUUUGCAAAUGGUUUGUAGGAUUGAUACAAAUGAUAUGGUGUUGGAAAGCUAUGGAAAAUGUGCAAAUUUUGCGUAUAGAAAGUUUUUUCUAAUCCUUACGGUUUAAAUACGAAUUCAAAUACGGUUAAAAUUGAUUUUGAACGUGUUUUUUAAAAAGUUUGUCGAAAUGGGGAAAAUAAUAUACCGUUGGAUAGCUAUCGAAAAUGCAAAACUUAGUCAUGUUGGACGUUUUCUCUACUUCGCAACCGUUUAAGAGUAAUCUUGAAUACGGCAUGACGGAUCCUGCUAUUUUCUCGUCUGAAAAACAGAUUAGUCGUACUGAUAUAUGUGUAUGUUUGUACUGAGCUAUUUUUUGUAGAGUAAUUUUAAAUGGUGCCGAAAAAAUGUACUUAUACUGAUGCUUGCAUGGUUUUGUACUAAACGUGUUUUCACUAACUAGACUUUGCUCUGUUUUUUCGUGAGAACCAUCAUGCUGUUUUUUUGUGAGAAAAAAUAGAGUACUUGUACUGAUCUUCGUGUGUGUUUGUACUAAUGUAUUCUUCAAAGAGUAAUUUUGAAAGGUUACGAAAAAAGAGUACUUGAACUGAUGUCCGUAUGGGGUUGUACUGAGCGUUUUUUCACAGACUAGGCUUUACUCUAUUUUUUUACUGAAAAUUGUUUCAUCAAUUGUUCGCAAAUGAUAGUACGAACUAAGAUAUGUGUUGGUUUGUACUGAGCAUUUGUUUCAUCAUUUGUUCGCAAUUGAUAGUACGAACGGAGCUUUGUUCAUUUUUAUACUGAGCAUUCUUGUCAGUGCCAGGAUCUCCGGAUUUAUGUUGUUUUGUUCUGCGAACUUCCUCAAAAUUUUAUUGGUAAAUCACACCGUUUUUUUUCUUUUGCUAAAUUUUUGUCCUCUGAACUUGUGACCUAUGGAGUUUGUACUGAUAUGAAUCGUUUUGCCGAACCGCCACAAUUUUUUGUGUAUUGAAUCACUAUAUAACUUAGAACCAAAUUGUUUUUCUUAACAUAUAUUUGAAUUGUUUCUAUAUGUACAUUGAAUUGGGGAAGAGUAGCAAUAGUUAUACAUACUUUAUGGAUAGUAAUACAUGAAUUUCUUGGUAAACUGAAGAAUAUACUCUGGACCGUAAUACAUGUCCUCUCGAGUUUGUACUGAUGUGAAUCCUUUUGAACUUGCUCUCGACGGUAAUACAUGACCUCUCGAGUUUGUACUGAUGUGAAUCCAUUCGAACUUACGUGGCUUACAUCAUUGAACGGACUCUAUUCUUCUCACUACCACCAUUGUUUUGUCCAUUUCUUUUUGGACUUGCAUGGCUUACAUCGUUGAACGGGCUUAGGUGGAUAUGUACUAAUGAACUACUAUGAUUUGUAGCUCUCAGGAAAUGUAAUCCUUUCUUUCCCUGUUAUUCUGAAUACCAAACAGCAAAAAAUCAGUUCUCAUAAGCACGAAAAAAUUAUAUAUGUACCCCUAAAUUUUGCAGCUAUUUUGUCCUCUUUCAUUUCGAAAAAAGCAUACAAAAAGCAAAAGCACAAACUAUACAAAAGGUUUUAGACACCAAACUAGUAGAGAAUUAAAAAUAGGCAUCAGGCAGCAACUUGCUAAACAUAGCACGAGUCAUAUACAUAUGCAUUUCAUCCCAUUAUACUUCUCCACCCGCAUGGAAAGUGAGAGAACCUCCCUACAUGCAUAUAUAGGCAUCAAACUCCCUCUGUACCUGAACUAUAUUUUUGUUUGAUAUAUAUUAUGAACUCCUCUCGUCGAUGUACAUGAACCUGCUGUGCAGAGAGAUGAAAUGUAGUACAUCAGUCUAGCUUCAUUCAGCUAGAGAGAAACAUGAAAAAAUGUUCAGUUUUUUAGACGGCUUUCCUCUUUUUCUUUGUCCAAUCUGCGCCACGACUGCCACCAUCCUGCAUGCAAGCUUAAAAUUAAUUGAAGCCACCAAACAUGCACUUUCAUGAGACUUUGCUACUAUAAGUCAGCGAACAUAUCUUUUAGUAUUAAACCAAAGGCACACUUAUUACCCAGCACUCUUGUUCAGUUCAGAGCAUCAUCAAUAAGAUAAAGAUACGAAAACAUUAAGCCAAUAUAGAACAACUGGAUUGAUUUGAUUCAAAUUUUUACUUUCAAUGCAUUGUAGGCAACAGCCGAUCCAAGUCAGAACUGAUGUGAUUUAUUCCAUCGAACUGAUAUGAAAGUUUAUCUAUACUGUUCUGUUUUUUAACACACAUGUUUUGAACUAUUCCCGCUUUUUUCAUUAUGAAUUGAUGACAUAACACAUGUUGAACUGUUACACAAGAGCAAAUUCAGAAAUACAUAACAAUGGUGUACUCAAAAUAUGUGCAUUUUAAGGAACAAAACUUUCUGAACCUUCUAUACGAAAAACUUCAACUAUCAGUCCAAAGAGAUUUGAAGUUAAACAAUCAUUUCCCUUACUGAGUGUUAAGGAAAACGAAACCAGAGAUGACCUCGCCGGCAGUAGGAGUAGCGAUGGCUGCCAAGGCGACGCGUUGGUACAUGUACUAAACAUCUGCUCAAACCUGUUGUAACAUCUACUUCAAGCUUUUUCUAAAUCAUUGUUGGGAGUAGAGGGUUUUAAAAGAAAAUACAGAGUGCCAAAGAAAGAAAGGAACAACCUAUUUAUCUAAAGGACUGUGAUAUUUGGCACACGUGUGCCAUAUAAGGAAAACUGCCACACCUCUAUUUCUUUCAUUUUAAAGUACCAUACGAUCCCUCGUUCUUUGACCCCGCCUCUUCCCAAAUUACCCCGCAGGCUCGCCUGAGAAACCCGCUUCUCCCGCACAUCUCGGGAGCUUACCCCCGAGAAAACUGCCACUUCUUCACGUCUACCACAUGAUCUCUCCUCAGGACAAAGUUACCAUGAUAUUCAUAUGAAAGUUAUUAGGCCUGUGUUGCAUAGCUUACCGUACUAUUUACAUGGAACGUAUCAGGUACUAUGCUUCAACAACUAGACCCUUUCAAAGUUACCACUAUGUUUUGUACACAAGUUAUAAGGUCUUCGAUGUGCAAAAUACCGUGGUACUUACACAUAAGUUAUCAGGGUAUAUGUACAUCAACCUCCCCCCGGUCAAAGUUACCAUGGGGGAUUGUACAUGAGUUACCAGGUCUACGGUUCGUAUAUUAUCAUGGUACUUGCACCUAAAAACCUGGGUGUGUUUCGGUAGCUUUUCUCAUAGGUCAAAAAUUACCAUGAUGUUUUUGCGUAACUUAACAUGCCUAUAGCACGUGUGCCCCUCGUGACACUAAACAUUAUGUGACUUUCUCGUGGCACGCCAUGUGUUGUGUUCAUCCAAGAGGCCCACGCGCGAGGCAAGUGUAUUUUUUUAACAACUUAUAUAUUUUCCUUUGGUAAAAAAGUUAUCAUCAUGUUUAUAUUGCAAGUUAUCGGUUAUGCGGUGCUUAUAUUAUCAUGUUAUUUACACAAAAAUUAUUGGGGAUGUUUUGAACAACUUUUUCCCGAGGUAAAAAGUUAUCAUGGUGAUUCUAGGUAACCUAUCAAGCCCGUAGUGCUUAAAAUAUCAUGCUAUUUACAUAAAAUUUAUCAAGGAUAUGUUUCAGCAACAAAUUCCACCCCCCCAUGGGUCAAAAAUUUAUCAUGGUGUUUAGUUAUCGCAGUGCAUAUGUUUUCAUACUAUUUACACAUAAAAAUGCCAGGGGAGGGAGGUAUACUACCGUGCUAUUUACACAGAAGUUACCGGAGUAUCUUAAAAAAAUUCCCUACGGUCAAAGUUACCAUGGUGCUUCUACCUCCGUUAUUAGAUGUGCGCUGCGUAUAUUACCAUCUAUUUACACAUAAACUAUCAGGUAUCUUUUCACAUUUGUUGUCCCCAAUGGUUAAAGUUACCACGAUGUUUGUAUCUAAAUUAUCAGGUCUAUGGCGUGAAUGUUAUCGUACUAUUUACAGAAAUUACCGGAGGGCGGGUUCAACAAAUUUAUUCACAAUGAUCAAAGUUACCACGAUGCUUGAAACAAAAAGUUGCUAAAGUAUUAAAGGCAAAAACAUGUCAAAAACAGUAUUACCCUUAGAAUGUUCAACAAUGAGUAUCAUAGGUGAGGUGGUUAGCUCCCUUUGUUAAUUACCUGCAGACCAGAGAUCAAAUCCUAGUCUAAGCAUUAUUUUUGCUCAAAAUUGAGAAGGCAUGUGGGGCCAUAAAUGACGAUUACGAAAAUUAGGAAGGCACAAGCGGGAGAGAAUUGAUGACAUUGGAUGCGUGUGGCAGUUUCGCAAUCUGCCACACGGUUGCCAUAUACAUAUUUCGUUAUCUAAAUAGUGUGUGGAAUUGUUUAUAUGGAUGAACAAAACAUUACUUGAAGUAGAGGUUCUGCCAAAAGAAAGAAAGAGCAUCUUGCAGGUUCAAGUUUGAGUAGUUGAGCCAGACAAUUUAUCGUAGGUGUUGUAUGUAAUAAUAAUUUAAUUAUUUUCAUAGGAGUACGACUCAUAGUAUCGGCAUGGAGGUCGUGAACAAAAGCAGAAGUAUCCUUAAUUUUUUAUUAGUGACUGUAAUUUUCCUUAUAAAGAACAUACUACUCUCGUGUAAACCCAUCCCUCUACAUAUGUACUGUCAGUUUUUUGCAAAUCGAACAAAUUGCGUAUGUAGCAAGUGCUAGUAUCUUGAAAUGCAGUUAUGCGUAUGCCCCUAAGAGUAGGUGAAUAGAAAACUCGAACAAAAAAUAGCUUUCUCCUAAUAGUAAUCGUGCUAGAACUCAUUCAAAGCUGAAGUGAACUAUAAUUAUAACCAGCCUUUGUCAAUAGAAGUCCUACUAAUCACAAAUUCCUCUAAUUUCCUCCAGACUCAAGAUCAAGAUGGUGGACAGUGCACGGAUAUUACAAAAUUAACAAUUCACAAUACGAAUUAAGUAUCACAAAUUGCAAGGCACAAGUUUUGAGCACAUACAAUCUUUCAUUGGUAGGCAGCACUACAACUUUGGAGGUCAACACAUUAGGCAAACUCUUUGGAAUUAAGAUAGUGAAAAGUAAAUGUAUGCGAAAGCAAGCUUCCAUUCGGUAAACCAUCAAGCCCAGAUUGCUGCACUCCGAAUUUCCUUUAGACUCAUACGCUACCUUCAGAUCAGCAAGCUUUAUGUUCAGCAAGUGUGUAACAAAACAAGAAUUGAACUGGAAUAGAAUUUGAAAUUUGAACUGAAAUACAAUACGAAAACUAAACUGAGUGUACUUUCAGAUUUUCACAUGGGCAUUAGUGCAUGAAGCAGCAAUGAAAUUGAACUGAAACAAAUUUCAGUUCAGCAAACUUAUAUGAAGUUAUAUGAAGCAUGCUUGAAUGCGUUGACCCGAAGCAUGCUUGUAGGAGAGUAGUGGCACUGGAAGGGAGCCUUUUGCUGAACUUAUAUGAAGUUAUAUGAACUUGUCUAACUUAUAUGGAACUUAUAUGAAGCCUUUUGCUGAACUUAUAUGAAGUUGACCAGACAAGAUGAUACCGGGGCGCAUCAGAAUAUAGGAGAGUGGUGAUGCAAGUCAGUCACCGGCUGGAUAAUGAAGCGGGUGGUAUGCGGCAUGGAGACAACCAGAAAAUGGGACAUCCAGGGGUAGGGAGCGUCGUCGCUGAAGAUCAGAGAGUGUGGAGCGCAGGCGUGCGGUGUCCCCCGGCCGGCAACGGAGACGAAGGAGAUCGGGGAUAGUGCACUUUUUUCGUCAGCCUGCAAGAUGCUCAAGGACCAGGACAACAUGUAGUUUCAGAAUUACAGAUUGUGGUCAGCUAUAGGAUGUUUCUGGGACCAUGUUUUAGCUACGAGAGAGCAACAACAUCACAUCAUGAGAGAGAGGAUGCAGCAUCAAAAAUUCAGGAGAAAGAUCAGAGCAGAGCAGAAGUAAAUAUGUUUUGAGGAGAUGAACUGACCAGGAUUUAAAUGAACUCUCACUAGCAGUAAUUUUUGUACUUCGCAUGUAGUACUACAUGGACUUGCUGUAAAAUACAUGGACCAUGUAGUAAUUUUGAAGUUAAUUAUAUGAUCAUCUCAGGGAGCUCAAGUUGUACUGAAAGCUCAAGUUGGACUGAAACUCACUCGAUAACUAAAACUCCUAGGGCGAGGGGUGGGAUCCAGGGUGCUGCUAGCAAUGAAUGGCCUGGGGUGGUGGCGUUGAACGGCCUGGAGUGGUGGCUGUGAACAGCCAGGGUGCUCCGGCGGCAGAGCCCCACCGGAGAUGGUGAUGCAAGCAGGAGGUCGGGAAGCAGUGGUGCCGGUGGUCGGGGUUGUCCAAUGCACACGGCACACCAGUACAGGAAGUUGAUUCAUCACCCAUCCACAGUUUUUUUCCUUUUGGGAAUCCAUUGAACUGAAAAAAGCUACAUGUGAGCUGAAAGUAUGAAAAUAACACAUCUUUGAAAGAAUAAAGAACUAGCUUUAACUUAUCUAUGAAAGAAUACACCUCCGAGGAACUAGCUUUGAACAUAUCUCUGAAAGAAUAGAGAGCAUGCAAAGUUCAAGGAAAGAAUAAGCAAAAUGGCACACUAGUACGCAGUAGUACGAGUCCAGUCAUGUACGUGCUAGUAUUAGAUUUGAAUAGUAGCUAGAAUUGAAGUUCAGGUAACCAUGGCACACACAUCAUACAGUUUUAGUCAUGUAUGCACACACACUGUAAUAGUAGCUGCAAUUAAAGUUCAAAUAACCACGGCACCCAUAACAGAACAAGAAUCAGUCUAGCAGCUAGGCAAGCAAGCUUCAUCAGCAUGAAUACACAUCAGCGGCAAGCUAGAACACGCUAGUAGGCUGUAGAAGUCUCCUUGUAAUUUUUCAAACAGAAGUGCUUUAGUUCAGUUCAGUAGUAAGGCAUGGAAAAAGAAAAGCAAUGGAAUAAACUAUAACCGAGCCAAAUAUGUAAUUUCAACAACCUAGACCUCAUUGCUUGACUUCAGUAGUAAUACAUGAUCAUCAGUUCAAUAUAAACAGACUGAUGUUAACAUCAUCGUACAUCCAUUGCCGGUUCAUCUGCGUGCAUUAUAUAUAAUUAAGUGUGUCAAAAACCAUUACAGAAUAGCAUGAAUACAAAAGACCAAAUUAAUAGAAGUUCAUCAUCACAUUAAAACCAAAGUACAGUAGUGAUCAAAUGUUGUUACUGAAAAAAUAAAUACAUAAAGUUCAUACAUAUAUAGUUCUCAUUGAACAACAUAUAUAUAGCUCUCUAGAGCAUCUAAUUAAACCAUACAUUGAAACAAUGUAAAAACAUUUCAAUGCAACAACAAAUGCGAUCAUAAUCGCAACUAAGGUAACAAUUGAUCCAACGGCAUAAUGAUGCCAAGCCUCGGUAUGAAUGGCAUAUUUUCUAAUCUUUCUAAUCUUCAAGCGCAUUGCAUCCAUCUUGAUCUUGUGAUCAUUGACGACAUCCGCAACAUGCAACUCCAAUCCCAUCUUCUCCUCCUUAAUUCUUUUCAAUUUUUUCUUCAGGUAAUUGUUUUCUUCUUCAACUAAAUUUAACCUCUCAACAAUAGGGUCGGUUGGAAUUUCCGGUUCACAUACCUCCUUGAUGAAAACAUCUAUGUCAUGUUGGUCGGCAUAAUUUUCAUACACACUAAAUGAACAAAAUAGUUAUAAAAUAUAAUAUAUACCACAUCGGAAUCAUAGACAGGACGAGGGCCGACGGAGGCGGAUACCAAAACCAUCGCACUAUAUGAUAACAAAAAAUAAUAAAAGUAAUAAAAUUAUACAAGUAUCUAUCUAAAUCAUACAAGUAAGAACUUUUUUCUUUUAGAAGAUAAGAACAAGAGGCUCACCACGGUGGUGCCAGCGACGAGAUCGGCGCGGGCGAUCGACAGCGGUGAGGACGGGGACGGGACAGGAUGGACCGCCAAACCUAGACAAAUCUUAAGGAAAAUGGAGUUUGGACAAGGAGCUUCGAGAGGAGAAAGCUUAAGUAUGUCUCGGACAUUUCACCGAACACCUCAUGUGCAUAGGAGGUGAGCUAGAGCACCACAAAGCUCUCCCACGGCCGGCCAAAAAAUAGAGCAAUGCACUGCUCUGCUCGCGGGCAGGGGGAUAUAUAGGCCUCUCUUUAGUCCCGAUUUGUGGCUAGAACCGGGACUAAAGGACCCCAUUUGGUCCCGAUUCCAACCACCAACCGGGAUUAAAGGUUGUGGGCCAGGAGCGAGGCCCAUUUGUCCUGGUUCGUGUCUGGAAGCGUGACCAAAGGGGUCAGACGAAUCGGGACCAAUGGCCCCCGAGGCCCUGCUGACGCCCUGGCUUUAUGAACCGAGAUUGAUGCACCCAUUAGUCUCGGUUCAUAGGGAAACCGGGAUUAAUGCCCUUUUCAGACCUGGACCAAAGCCCUAUUUUCUACUAGUGUUGUAGGCCUCGCUCACAUGAAGUAAGAACGGUCGGUGACGAUGCCUCAUAAAUCCAUGUGGUGCAAUCAUAGUUGGUGGUGCAGGGGAGGAAGUAACCUUCUUUGAUGGGGAUUCCAUCGCACGCUUGUUCGUCAUGUAGACGCGUCCUCUUAAUUUCUGUUCAGCUUUACAGGCAAGACGAAACAAAUGAUCGAUAGAAUAUAGUCUUCAUGCAUUAUUAUGUCUUGUAUAUCAUGGUUUAAACCUUUCCAAAAUCGAUUCAGAAAAUCUUCUUCGCAUUCUUGUAAGCCAGAACGAAACAAAGCAAUACACAAAUUGUCAUAAUAUUCUUCAACAAUGAUAUUGUCUUGUUCUAAACGUUUUAAUUUUCAAAGCAAAUCACUGGCAUGAUAUGAAGAACAAAUCGGUCUCGCAUAACAAGUUUUAAAUCUUUCCAAGUAGAAGGCCUAUUAUCAAUAUUUUUCCUGCAAUAAUUUCUCCACCAAACUGAAGCAAAACCUAAAAACAUCUUAGUGACAACAUUUAUUUUCUUAUGCUUGGGAAGUUCAUGGCUAGCAAAUAUUUCUUCUACCUCAAUUUCCCAAUCAAUAUAUGAAUCAGGGUCAUAUUUACCCUUAAAAUUUGGCAAAGAGGUAACAUGAUGAUGUGUGUUUCUACCAUGAUGUAUAUCAUGUGACGAUCGUCGUACCUUUUGUGGUGGGAAAGAGUGAUCUUUAUCAAUAUAUGGCAAGUCAUCUCCCACAAUAGAUGCACCCCAACUGUCAACCGCUCUAGAAUCUGCCAUGGUUAGUACCACACAAAAACAAAAAUAAUAAGUAUAAUGUUUCUAUAGUACUACUUGGAGGUGGCAGAAAAAUUCUCUCAACACUCUAGCAAUUACCAAGCUCUUACCAGAUCUUACCGUGCUGCAGUGGUUGUCGGCCUUUGGCGCCUUCAAAAGUUAUCAAAGUUGGAUAUAGUGAUUGCCAAAUCACCGAACAAGGUACAAUAUAGAAAGUGGAGCUUGGUGAAGGUUUUCUCAACUCACAAUAUCGGUGGCACAAUUUUGCUAAAAGUAAUGCAAGAUGAAUAAUUGCUCAAACUCCUAACUAGUGCUGAUAGUCGACUAGUAAGAGAUAAAAUAAUCUAAGCCCAGAUACUGAAUCAAGCGAGAGGGAACUGACGAAAAUAUAAUAGCUCCAAGUAGCUAGAUAUAAGUGAGGUAUGAACGUAGUGUAUGGCAACCAAGAGCAGACAAAAAAAUCCAACACUUAUCACUUAUAUGAAUAGAGCAGGCUGAACAGCAAAAGAGAUUUUUCAAAAGAUGCUAGCUGGCCAAAACUUUGCAUCAAAUUUUUUUAUUCUUUUUUCUGAAUUUUCCUUUUUCUUCAACUUUCAGGCCGGCCGCUAGUAGAAGUCACGGACACAAAUAUCUGACCAAACAGGUAUGAAGGGGUGGCCGGGGCACAUCUGGUGUAGCCCAUUGGCGCUGUCCAGCGGUAAAAGAUCUCAUGCCAUUGCUGAAAUUCACGUCCCCCACCCAGGGCAUUUUGGUCAUUUUGCAUCUAUGCCCUUUUCCGAUUCGCUGCAUCCUCCCCCAAUGAGUGCCUCCCUCAUUUUUCUAUCCCUCACAUCUCUCUCGGGAGAGAGUCGCUGCCGCUAGUCAUCCUCCCCGUCUGCCGCCGCUGCCGCCAACCAUCCGCAGCCGCGCCACCAUCCCCUCCCCGUUCCUCUCCCGUAGCUGAGCCAGCCAUGGCCAGGAAGAAGUGCAAGUCCUCUUCCUUCCUCCCUCACCCCUGAUCUGAAUCCUCUCCCGGAACCCCAGCCAGCCGCACGCAUCCCAUAUGGCGCCGCCCAGCUCGCAGCCCUCGGCCGCCGAGCCAUCGCGAGGCUCCUCGCGCAAGCGCACGACCUCCUCAAAGGCUGCGCCCGAGGCCGACCUGGAGUUCACCGUCACCAAGGAAAGGUAAGGGGAGGGGAGGGGAUGGAAGGGAUCGAGCGACCAGGUGAGGAAGCGCCCAGAUCCACAGGGCCAUCGACACUUCGUCAUCGACCUCAUCCGCGACCGUCCUCGAGGUCGGCCAUGGUGGUCCGGCCGGCAACAGCCAUGGAAGGAGAGGCCCGAAUCCCUGGCCCUCCAAGUACGCGCCUGCUGCAGGCCAUCUCCGGCGAGCUCAUCCACAGAUCUCCAACUAUGGUGCGUGCGCAUGAUACCUAAACCCCUUGUCUUGUCGGUUUCUUCAUCUUCCCUCCUUGUGAUUCCUUGGUUUGUUUUGUGCGCAGUUGCUCCGAUCUGGAAGAGGUGGUGGAGCUUUUGUUGUUGCUGCUGUAGGUGGACGAGGCACCACCCUCUCUUUCUACUUCUGGACACAACCUGGUGGUGAUUGCAAAUUUCAGUGUUAAAAAAUUCAGUUCAAUUCAGUCAUGUUCUUUUUCUUUUGUGGGGAAAUUCAGUCACAUUCAAUGUUCAACUUUUAGAGUUAACAAACUGUUGUUAUGACCACUAUGGUUUAGAUGUUCAGAAAUUCAGACAAAUGGUAUGAUGAAAUGAGCCACCUUUUAACCCCCUACUAAACCUACCGUGAACGUGAGAGAGCCAAUGCAGGGAGGUGUGGACAUUUUACCAUGUUCAUAGGAAGAAAUCAACAUAAAAUACACAGCUUGUAGAUGAUUCGUCAACCACCAUCAAACACGACUUGUAACUUUCUGGACUAAACUGAACCGUGCAAUUGACUCAAAAUAAAACUAAACCGUGCAAUUGACUCAAAAAUAAAUAGUAAAUAUACUUUGGUUGUGUCUGCAGAAUUGCAUUAUGGAAAGAUGUGUGUGAGGUUACCCCAUCGCCACUGGUUCCAACUUUGUCCAUCAUGUCGCUCUGAUGAGAAGACCUUGUCCAUGUUUCAUUAAUAGGGCAGAGUGCUGCUGAAGUAUCUAUGUUGAACAAUUAUAACAGUACCAAGUAAGUUUGCUCCAAUUGCAUUUGAUGCAGAAGGCACAACACCGCCAUCAUGCGUCAGGUUCAGUAGAAGGCACGACACCGCCACGCUCUCCUCCACUACAAUGCCAUGCACCCGGUAAUUAAACAUGCUUUCUCUUCAUUCNNNNNNNNNNNNNNNNNNNNNNNNNNNNNNNNNNNNNNNNNNNNNNNNNNNNNNNNNNNNNNNNNNNNNNNNNNNNNNNNNNNNNNNNNNNNNNNNNNNNNNNNNNNNNNNNNNNNNNNNNNNNNNNNNNNNNNNNNNNNNNNNNNNNNNNNNNNNNNNNNNNNNNNNNNNNNNNNNNNNNNNNNNNNNNNNNNNNNNNNNNNNNNNNNNNNNNNNNNNNNNNNNNNNNNNNNNNNNNNNNNNNNNNNNNNNNNNNNNNNNNNNNNNNNNNNNNNCAAGAUCUCAAAGAGGUGCCGGCGAACCCAGGCCACACCCAACGCGCUGGGGGGCUGUUGGGGGCGCCAGCGGAAGCAACAGCCAAUCAUAUUCCUCCAUGUAUCAUUUUUUCUGGUCCACUCAUUCACUUUUUGCCUGGCGACUGUCCUGGGGGCACCAACGGCUGGGAAACCGUCCUUGUGUUUCAUUCGGCGAAGGUGUUUUGCCCCCCAGGACGUGCUAUAUUUGGCCCGACGAUUGUCCUGGGGGCUCCAACGGUUGGAGAUGCUCUAAUUCAUUGUAUUUGCAUGUUUCCAGCAGCCAUGUAUCAAAAAAAGCUUCAGCUUUGGGUUGUUGAUUUAGCAGCAUCAAUCAUUAAUUGUUCUGCUAUAUAUGUUCUUAACCAUGACAACCUGAUUAGGCUCUUAGUUUAUUAUGGUCUUUGUUCUGGGUGGAUCUCUGACUAUUCUGGGUGGGCAUGAAUCUCUUCUUUGUUUCUUCAUCUCCUCUUAUUCUGAUUCCUGCAUUUGUUUUAUGUGAAGGUUGCUCCGCUGAGGACAAGCUGCUUCUGCAGGUGGACGGGCCCUCAAGGCUGCUCUGCCUAUUCCUCCUGCUACCCCCACACGUGGUGAGCCCCAUCCGUUCUCGAGCUACCCCUGCAAAUCUGAUGUGAUGUGCACAAAAUACUUGCAAUUGUUCUCGACACAGGAGCAUGUCAUGUAUUGUUCUAUUUGAAUGUGCAAUUUCAUUGCUUCUGUGAUGUUUGAUGCUUGCUUCACAAGAGGGAAAUCAUGGAUAUAAACUGUGCUUCCUUUCAAGUUGAAUAGUAAUGAUCACCAUUUGGUUCCAUUUUCUCCUCUGCAUCCAGUGUUCACUCUCUCAUAGAUGUCCAUAUAUACAUAGUUCUGAUCUCCUUUUUUCUGCGGCUCCAUACAGCAAACACAAAGCCGUCGAUGCAUUGAGGGCUCAAUGUCGUCUCCGCCGGCUGAGCGGCAAGCCGGGGUUGGGCCUGCACACCGUCUAUCAGCACCCUCCCGUGUCUCCAUUCACGGAUCUGCAGGUCAACCCCUCUUCUCCUCCUAUCCACGCAUCUUCUUUUCCAGAGCUAGGUGUAUGGUUGCAUGGCAAUUUGUGUUUAGGGGCUCACCAUGUUCUGCUUGCCCUGGUUGGCCAAUGAGGCUUUCCUUUUCUUGUAAAGGCCAAAUGUACAAUUCUCUAUGCUUUAUAUUUUUGUAGUUCCUUUGUUUCCAUGCUAGUUUUUUGAUGGGGUGUAAAUAUAUGCUUUUUUGUUCCUUGUCUGGAUUCAGGUAGGGCCUAACAUUAUUGUUCCUUUGUGCAUGGAAAUGUUGGUGGUUUUGUUCCUUUGUGUAUGGAAGGGGGCCUUGAUUAGAAUUUUUAACGUUUGAGUUGUAAUUAGUGUUUUUGUUACACAUGAAAACAUAUGGUUGUUUGUCCAAUCACAUAUGAAAAAGAGAUGAUUGUUUGUCCAACAAUUUUCUUUCUCUGUGAUAGUUUUACUAGAAAUAAAGCAUAGUCACUAUUACAUCCUAUUUUAUAUCUUGUUGUGUCGUGAUAUCUAUAUAGACUCUGUCUACGUCCUUUUGACAUUCCAAGUUUUGUUUUUCUAUGGCUCAAUUAGUUACCCCGUAUCAAGAGAAAUUUAACUGGUAUUUGCGGUAGAGUUAGCUGAAUUCAUGAAGCAAUGAUUUAGUUAUUAUUAAAGCUGAAACACAACAUGUUUUGACAAAUGCGUUCUAAGUAAAGCCUCCAACUAACAUAACCAAAAACAUAUUCUUUAGGUUUAUCAUCUAUUGAAGUAUUAUGUAGAAUUUUAAAUCAUACGAGGCAAAGCAAAUGAGCUCUAUGCACUUUCCAUGUAGCACAAAACAAAAAUAAUCAUGUAUAUUUUGGAUGCACCUAGAUAUACUCAUCAGCAAGGCUGAGGUUAUAGGGCAGGGCACUCACCCACAUUGUCGACAUCUCCGUCACUAUGAUCACCCACAUGAUGGACAAUUCCCUUCUUUCUUUUCUCUGUGGCUAUUGACACUUAAUGCUAUUACUGUGUGCAUAUAUGUACUGUGAUCCAUUCUCAUUCUUCAUAUCUUGAGAAACUAUCUCAAGAUACUCGCAUUUGUGUUUUGAAGAAAGCCUAUUCUAUGAUUAAUAUAUCAAGUAUGGAUGGCGCGAUAUCACCUCUCUUUAUGAUGAUGUUCUUACAGAAUAUAGGUUUUAUGGUAACACGUCUUAGCCAACACCUAUACUGAUGCUCAGACCAGAUGAUUAUAGGCUCUCCUUGCUAUUUUUCUUGAGGUGUGUACAUCUAUCUAGACAAUUUAAUUAAAAUAUAUAUUCCAUACAAACCAUCAAUACAUGUUAGUUGACUUUGAAACUAAUCAGUAAAAAGGUUGUCCCUUUCGCAUUUUAUGGACAUAAAGAUUUGGUGUUGACUGUCGAUCUUUAGUUAACACAUGACCUUACAACCGUAGGGAGUGGGAAAAAACUUAUAUGUUUGGCACAUUUGAAGAACAUAUCAUAGUAACGAAGUUUUGGUAAACAAUGUCCUAGAUCUCAACCAUAUAGAAAUACUAAAUAUAUGUUUAUUUGUAUAUGGAUUAAUUAUACAGACUUAUAAAACCUUGUGCAGGGCACAUAAAAGAAAUUUGAAAUAACUAUUAUUUCAAUAUUUGCUUUUUCAGUUGAGCAUAAUAGUUUAUAGCCUGAUAGGCUUGGACAUAAUUGUCUACAUGUACUGCUCAGUAGGCGACAUCCUUUGGGAAAUUGAGGAUGUCCUCGUGCAUUUUCUAAAUACAAUUGGGGCAUAUCUGAGGAAUGAAGGGAGGAAUAAUCUCGUGGGAGAGUUCGGUGCAGAGGAAGAAGAACAAGAUAUUAUUUAUUUCUUGUGUACAGUCAAGCUUGUGCAUUGUCCCACUGUAAGUUAUUUCAACAAUAGUAGUAACUGUUAUCUCUGGCCAUCUGUUGCGACAUUUUCUUUAACCACCAAUGCAUAUUUAUUUUCUUGUUAAUAACUCUCAUAAUUGCCUGCUACUGUUUCAGUUCUGGGGCCAGGCAACCUUGAAUCCAACGUCCACCUGCAGGCUACAUCUCAGGUAGGAUAAAAAGAUUGCAGUGAACUUGAUGGGUAUAUCAUUAUUGUUGCCUCCUAAUUUGUGUGAUGAGCAAAUGUGUAGAUUGUGUGUAAAUCCGAGAUGCCUAAAACGGUUGGGAACUGAACUUGUUACCUCGGUUCACUUUAAUGGCAUGUUAAACUCGAUGCACUUUCUGGACUGUGACAUUUUUCCUGAAAUUUUGGAAGUGACUGCUAAUGUAGUCUAAAUAGAGUGACUGAGUAGUUACUUUCUCACAAGAGUUGACUUCCCGUUAUUGGAGUACUUGCUAAGAUGGAUUGGUGGUUUUUAUGUUAGAUGAAAAAUAUUACAUCAAUCUUUACGGCUUUUUAUGGGCAAGUGAUUCCGACUCCAUAAUAAGGAAUAAUAUAGCCCUAGUGCUGUGAUAAUGUUAAAACAUUUACCUCUUUUAUCGGUUCAUGUUAUGUAUUUGCUGCGAAAAAAUGGUCUUAUAUCAAAUAAUAGCCUAGAGCUUUUGGAGUGUUAUUACUUGUAUUUGUUGCUUGGAUGUAUAAACCUUCAACAGACUGUCAAUUUUGCUUUUAUAUAAUCUGUUUGUUUAAGUCUGCUGCAUAUUGGUCAAAAGCUCAUGCUAAUUGAUGAUGUUAGGUGAUGAUCUUGUAUCUAACAGUGAUUUCUGAAUGCAUGCUAAAGAAAACUCAUGAACAUCAUGGCGCCUUGUUGAUGGGGUGAUCAAUAGCUACUAUAUUGGGACCCUGAACUUAAAUUGUAGGUCUGAUUUUGUUUCGGAGUUCUCCUGCUACCCACAAGCUUAGAUAGUUCUUUUGUUUGUGCAGGGGAAAUUGCAAAGCAUAUUAUGAAUUGUUACAAGAAACUAUUUCUGCUGUUUUGGUGCAAGGACGUUGCUUUUUAGUAUGCUUCCCGUAUCUUGGUAUCUUGGAAUAAUAAACAGAUAGAUGUCGUGUACCAAGAUUGUUCCUUGUUGUUAAGAGGGAUACAAAUAUUAUACAAGAUUUUUUCUGAUGACUCCUAAAGCAUAUUUGGAUAUACAGCAAAGUAUAUUGUCGCUUCCCUGUUAGUAAAACGAUUAUUUUAGAAAUUUGGUUGGCAGCCCCUACAUUUGGCUGAUUGCUAGCUUACUGGAUUACUCAUGUUUGCGGACUCUGGUAACUUAUGCCUACCAAGAACUACAUGAAUUUUGUGUCUUGCUGCAGUGAACAUUACCAAACUAAUUCUAGAGGUGUUAUAAUCAUGUUUUCUUUUGCAUUAUCAACUUUUAACUUUUGUCAUUUGUUAACACAUUCCUUUUGCAUUAUCAACUUUUAACUAUUGUCAUUUGUUAACACGAUUAUUUAGUAUGUUCACUAUGCGAGUACUCCCUCCGUCUGAAAAUACUUGUCAUCAAAAUAGAUAAAAAGGAAUGUAUCUAGAACUAAUAUACAUCUAAAUACAUCCCCUUUUAUUCAUUUCGGUGACAAGUAUUUCCGGACGGAGGGAGUAGUAAUAAUAGGAGCUAUUUAUUUGCCAGAUAACUAACACUAUUCAUAUGGCAUAAGGGUUAGAAAAAGAACUGUAUUCUUGCUGUGUUGAUUUUCGUAUGGCACACUAUGGAUUCUUUGUGUAACACAUAAUGUCGAUCAACAUGUGUUUACAACGCAGGGAGGAGCCGGGCGACAAGGCAGUCAGACCAAACUCUCUUUCCAUAUAUAUAGGUAGUCUGAUGUUAUGCCAUAGCCGAACCAUAUAUGUUUCGUGUACUGCUCUAUCAAUCUGGUCUUUUGGUAUAUUAGACUCUAUCCUUUGUAAUGAACUUAUUGUCAUGGGCGAUCAUUAUGACUGGAUCGUAUGGUAUGAAUCGGGUCUUUAUGCUUUGUGAUGAAAUAUCAUAUUAUCCUGUUCACCAGUUUGGUUUGGUUUUGAGCUAAAACGUAUAAAAAUACAUGGCUUACAACAAUGGAUAUAUGUGAUGAUAUAUUGAGUGAUUAAGCAUAAUUUUAGACUUUCGGUGCUGGACCAAUGGGAUGCAUGGGGUAAUUGAAUGUUUCUUCUUCACUUUUUAUUAUCGGUUGGGAUCAGCACUCUCGCGCGAUCUAGUUAUGAUGAUGCUGCCUAUACAAAGCAAAUCUAUGUGGCUAUAAAGUGGAGCACCAUGGCGAACAAGAAACUGGCGCUUGAGGACAGACAUGAGUGGAACUGAUGUCUGAUGCAACACGGCGUUGCUGUACGCGUCAGGGCAGACAGCAACGACGUGUAACAGAUGGGAUGUCGGAUUGCACGCAAAACAAAGGAAUCCAAUGCAAUUUUGAUAGUUUUUUUUUCAGAUUAUGGACGAGCUUGCGGCGGAAACCAUGGUGGAGAAAAAAAAGUUCGAUCUAGUAGACAAAAAUUUCUCAUACAAAUCUAAACCAGCACUAUUUGUAGGAUGAUGCAACCAAAAAUUCAACUACGCAAGUACUAGAUGCAAAAAUUGCUAACGGCUAAAAAGAUAGGUGCAAAGGAUGAACUAAUCUUUCUUUCUUUUUUGGCUUUUUUUGGGUUAUAGGACAUGAAAAAUAAGCUAAUCUAACAAAACUGUAAAUCUCUCACCGCUGAAAGUGAAAACUGAUACCACUUAUGUGACGGCGGCCCGAUGUUUCGAUGAGAGUGAGGAUAACUAUCAAUUUGAUGGAUUCUGAUCUUGACGCUCCGGCUAUACAAUACCCGACGAUAUGCCUCGACAAUCGCUAAACCAAUCUCCGAUGGUUAUUGACCUUGCCGUAGGCACGGUCAACCUGAACGACGAGGUUUGAGUUCCUGCAAGUAACUAAAGAACCGGCAAGAACAAAGGUGAAUUGCAAUCUGAAAUUGCGAAUGAAAAAUUAAGCACAUGAACUAGAUCAAAAGUUGGAGUUCCACUUUGGAUCUGACAAGGCGGUAGUCCUACACGUCUCAUAGAUGCGAAACUGUAGCAUGGCUAAACAAUACAAUAAAACCCGCGUAAACCCUAGAAUAUGAUGACUAUUUAUUAAAGGCCGGCGUGGAGAAUGCUUCGUCUAUUUUCUUGGAAGUCAAGACGGGCCUGCUAAUUGGCCGGACACACACGCGAUCUGAUUUGAAAAUAAACUUCUCAUAUCAAUCUGGUGGCAAACUGCCUCAUCGGUACUAUAGGCCCAGAUGCGCAACACACAAGGCCAUGCAUGGGCGCAAAACCUAUACGACGCCCUCAGCGUCCGAUACCAUGUUAACGGUACAGGGCACAGAACGUCGUGAGACAGUUCGGUCCAUAUCCGGUGUGGGCAUUAGAGCAUUGAGAGGACCUUUCCCUAGUACGAGAGGACUGGGAAGGACGCACUUCUGGUGUAUCAGUACACCCCCUUGUCACGAUGGGCCGGCCCACAUUCCUUUUUUUCUAUAUUAAAGACGCCGAAAAAACUGAAUGUAAGCACCAUGAUUCAAACCGGCAAUCGACUGGUUCAACACACACCACCUAACCAAUAGGCUACAUGUUGUUGACGUGGUUAGUUAUAGCUUUUCCUUCUUUUCUUCUUUGUACCUUCUUUUUUGUUUUUUUGUUCGAACGGUUUUGUUAGUUUUUAUUAUUUUCCAUCUUAAUUUUUUUCAAUAAUACAACAUUUUUCGUUUCAAUUUCGUGAACUUUUUUAAAAUUCGAUAUUUUUUUUCAAAAUUCAAUGAACUUAUUUUCAAAUUCGAUGAACUUUUUACAAAUUGGAUGAACUUUUUUCAAAUUUGAUGAACCUUUUUUUAAACUCGAUGUUUGUUUUCAAAUUUGCCAACUUUUUUGAAAAUUCAUGUACAAUUAUGAAUUCAUGAAUUUUUUGAUAUUUUUUUAAUUUUGCAAAUUUCCCCUUUUUAGUUUUUUUAAAUAGCAAUGGUUUUUUCGACAAGUGCUUGCAAGAGAAAAAAGGCUAGCAAAGGAGCGAGCAGCGACCGAUUGAGCCAGCAGCAGCGGUCGAGCGAGUAGUCGAGCGAUUAGCAAUCGAGCGAGCAGCGAUCGAGCGAGCCAGCAGCAGCGGCCGAGCGAGCAGUUGAGCGAUUAGCGAUCGAGCGAACAAAUGCAUGUUGAUUCAAUAAUGCUCAAGUGUAAAUAUUCUGUAUUAAACUUCGCAUCUUCACCCGAGGUUUGUGCAUCUCUUCUUUAAUCCUGCAUAUAAAAUAUUGUGUUGUAUUUUUGUUUCGGAUAACAAAAUAAUAAUUCAUAUAAUUUCUAUUAGAAUUCACCUGAUAAUUAUCUUUACGCGCAAUAAUUGUGGUUAUAUCCGUACGGGUCAUGUUUAUAUCAGGUAGUUAAUCUUCUUUUUCUUAUCCGCAAGACACUUCUUCACAUGCUCAUCCAAGAGGGUUUCGGCUGCCAACAUGAUCAUCGCAUCCACCACGUCCUGUGAGAUUCGCAACCUCUCCUUCUCAAGCUCUAUGUCGCCAAAUGUCUUGGCCUUCUCGAGUUCCCAUUUGAUCGCCACCCCUUGGUGGUCCACCAUGUCCGAACCUCCUUGCGCCGCCGCCGCCUCCCUCUCUCGCUGCAGGCGUUGCCGCAACUUCUGGGCGGCGUCCUCCGCCUUGCAAGUCAGAGCCGACGAAGGGACGCCGACGGACAAGGCGGACGGCGUCUUUGUCGCGGUGGUGGAUCGGGACCGGUGGUGAGGAUUGGGAGCAAGGGUGGAGGACGGCGAGGGUUCGGGCGCGGGAAAAGUUGGAGGGCGGCGGGAGGAGGAGAAAGGGUUUGGUGCAUUUGGCACAAUUUUCAAUGGGGUCGGGCUGACGGGUCCGACGUGGCGGGCGCGCCCGGGCGCCCCAUAUUUGGGCUAGAUAUGAGGGGUGCCGGUCAGCCCAGGCGUUCGAGGCCCGUUUAAGGAGCCCGUCUGGAUCGAAAAAUCGUGACCGGGUGGCCCACCCGGGUGUAUGAGCCAGGCUUGAGGUGCCCGACUGUAGAUGCUCUAAUCAUCUAGAUCUGACGCUCAAAGGCUCCACCCUCCCCCACGACUUGGGUUCGAGCGCCUCCCCAAAACUUCGUCGGGAUCCGCCACAACCGGCAACGGCGAGGCCAGAGGUGGCCGGAUCCGGCACAGGUUGGUCUCUCCCCUCCUUCUUCGCCCACCCUCUCCUCCUUACCUCACGCCACUUGUCUUCCCUUUUUUGCAGGUCGCCAUGGCGCGGACGGCGAUGACGGCAGGAGGGGCACACACAUCCGUGGAAUGGGACGCCGCCAUGGAGAUGGAGAUCCUUCUUCACACCACGCAGAGGCCCCAUGGAGCCUCCCUCCUUCUUCGGUGACUUCUUCUCAGGCCCCACCACUACCUCUGCCCUCCCCCCUCCUCUACUUUGAGUUGCACCAUGCUUUGUUUCAGAUUCAUCCACCCAUGGGUGAUACAUGGGAAGUUAGGGGUUGCUGCAGUUUGAGGUUAAUCCCUUGAUUGGCUGUUGUUUCGGGUUGAUUAGAUUAGUUAGCUCAGUUGGCUGCUAGACUUUAGGAGUGCAUACAUGGGUAUAACAUGCUCUGCACAUUUAGGAUUGAAGUAUUGUGUUGCAGCACUCAGUGACGUUAAUUUAGGGCAUUUCAGUGUCAGUUCCACUAUAUUUCGGGGGACAUUUAACAGUGCAAUUUCAUGGUUAUUACAGUGUAAUUUCAAGGUUCUUGCAUUCUAAGUUCAGAGAAUUACAAUGUUAGUUUAUGUGAAUUCCCGUGCAUUUUACUGUGUAAUUUAAGUGCAAUGGAAAUUAUAGUGUAAAUUCAGUGUAAUUUACUAUGUAAAUUUACGGAAAUUACACUGUAAUUCGUGUGCAACUUUUAGUGUAAUUUACACUAUAAUUUCAACGGGUUUACAGUAGAGUAAUUUAAGUGUAAUUACAGUGUGCACUUUAGAGCAAUCAUACUAUAUAUUUAGUGAAUUUAAAGUAUCACUCCAUACCUUUCGGGUUUGUCUUUUUUCUCUACAAGUUACUGCUAUACUGUUGAUUGAUUCUACCCUUGCGAAAGAAACUUUGAUGAGCACAUAAUUUUCUACUAUGUAAUUUGAGCAGCUUGGUAACCGUAAUUUUCAGUUUCCUUUGACCCUAGGCCCUUGUGCUUUAGAAUUGCUAUUUUUUGUCAGUGUACAUGCUAGAUCAUGUGGUUUAUGAUACUUCUCUGGUCCUUAUAAACAAAGUGACAUGUUUGUACUGUGGAAUAGAAAGAAUAUUUCAGUGUCUCUCUUUAGGCCUUUUGUCGAAUUGUUAUGUGGUCCAGUGCAGCCUUACGAAACCGGGUUCUAUGCAGUUCAUGUACAGUGCAAAACUCAUUAUUGCAGGUCAGGCCUGUAGCAUGUCUUGGGUCAUUGACAUGCAGGAAAGAAGGAAAAAGGACAUAGAAGUAUCAUUUUGUUAUUGGUCAAGAAAAUUUGAAUAAUGUCCAACUGAUUUCAGUUGAAUGACAAAUAGACAAUCCCUUGUUUAAUCAGUAGAUAUACACCAUUAACUCAAAUAGCAAAGAAAUACUAGUCCAUUUAUAAUCGAUGAUUGCGCAUGAUGCAUCCAUCCAUUCUAUCGGAGAGGCUGUGUUUUUUUUCUUCUUGUGCUAAGGUUGAUAGCAUCACAUAUCUUAUGCUUUUGUUUCUCAAGUAGAGCCUUGAGAUAGAUGUGUCUGCAACCGUCCUCGAAUGGUUGUGCAAUAAUAAUGGUCCUAGCUAAUUACUAGUAUGCACUGCUUAUAAAACAACUUGUUGCUCGUUUCACUUUGAGUAUGCUGUUGCUGCUAAAGUAGCAACAACAACAGCCAUGCUUUGGUUCCCCAAAAUUCAGAUGGCACUGGCAUCUCUACAUACACACACAUAUAUGAAUAUGCACCUCAGUUUGGUUCAGUUUGCAUGUGUACCGUUGCUUUAACUUUGACUGAAACUAUCUUGGUGGCACUUGCAUCAAUGUUGUGCUCUGCCCUUGUAUAUGUCCUUGGAGAAGAUGACCAUUGGACUGUAGGGGACGAACAACCUUGUCCUGCUCGAGGAGGAGGAGGAUGGCCACCCUGAGCUCGAGGACGACACGACAACAGGAGCACUCACCUCCCUACUAAGGUGAAGGUCCGAUCCGCCUGUUUAGAUGGUCUGCUCUUGUCUUGUGAUCUGAGGGGAGAAGAAAGCCAUUGGCCUCAAUUAUAUUUGCAUGUGAGGGGAGCGAUCCUUUUGGUAGAUGCAGAGUAUAGAUUACAUAUUCCACAAAACUCACCACACGAGUAUACUAACUAUAUCCACAAAAUUCACCACACGAGCAUACUACCUAUGUCCAAAUGUGGGUUUGAUACUUUCGACAUGAAACAUGAAUAUCAGGUUGGGAGUUUGGAGUUUAAUCAAAUAACGCAGCAAGGCGAUCAUCGGUAGGGAUGCACCUUUGAGGCGGCAAGGAGGGCUUCUCAAAGGCAGUACACAUGGCUUAUUACUGCUUGUAUGUGAGUACGCAGAUGUGGCGUCUAUGGAUAGAGGGUUAGGGGCGCAACGCAAGCGGCAGUAGGGGAUACACAACCUGAUUUGAUUUGGUCAAUCACGGGAAAUGGGAGAAGGCCUAGGGUGCAAAGUUUAGAUCGGUGGGUUGGUAGCGUUAGGCAUAAUAGAGAUCAAACCUUUUUCAUAGGCGUAUGUAGGUUAUUUCCUUGAAGCAUUUUAUCAAAAUGGUGUAGGCGGGUAAUAUCUCUCAACUUAAAUGUGAAGGGGAUAUAUUAUUUCCUUGUAGAGGCCGAGGAAUACAUGGCGUACCGCUACAUAUGCAACCAUGAUUUUUUGUGGAUGGUUACGAGAGAACCUGAAAGAUACCAUGGACCGAAGCAUGGGCACAUGAAGUUCCUGUUGGGGAACGUAGUAAUUUCAAAAAAAUUCCUACGCACACGCAAGAUCAUGGUGAUGCAUAGCAACGAGAGGAGAGAGUAUGAUCUACGUACCCUUGUAGAUCGACAACGGAAGCGUUAACUUGGUUGAUGUAGUCGUACGUCUUCACGGCCCGGCCGAUCAAGCACCGAAACUACGGCACCUCCGAGAUCUAGCACACAUUCAGCUCGAUGACGAUCCCCGGACUCCGAUCCAGCAAAGUGUCGGGGAAGAGUUCCGUCAGCACGACGGCGUGGUGACGAUAUUGAUGUACUACCGUCGCAGGGCUUCGCCUAAGCACCGCUACAAUAUUAUCGAGGACUAUGGUGGAAGGGGGCACCGCACACGGCUAAGAAUAUGAUCACAUGGAUCAACUUGUGUCUCUAGGGGUGCUCCCUGCCUCCGUAUAUAAAGGCUCAAAGGGGGAGGGGUGGCCGGCCAAGAGGAGGCGCGCCAGGAGGAGUCCUACUCCCUCCAGGAGUAGGACUCCCCCCCUUUCCUAAUUGGAAUAGGAUUCGCGGAGGGGGGAAAGAGGAGAGAGAGGAGGAAGGGGGGGGCGACCCCCUCUCCUUGUCCUAUUUGGACCAAAGGGGGGAGGGGCGCGCGGCCCAUAUCUGGCCACCUCUCCUCUCUUCCACUAAGGCCCACUAAGGCCCAUAUACCUCCCGGGGGGUUCCGGUAACCUCCCGGUAAUCCGGUAAAAUCCCGAUUUCACCCGGAACACUUCCGAUAUCCAAAUAUAGGCUUCCAACAUAUCAAUCUUUAUGUCUCGACCAUUUCGAGACUCCUCGUCAUGUCCGUGAUCACAUCCGGGGCUCCGAACAAACUUCGGUACAUCAAAAUGCAUAAACUCAUAAUAUAACUGUCAUCGAAACCUUAAGCGUGCCGACCCUACGGGUUCGAGAACAAUGUAGACAUGACCGAGACACGUCUCCGGUCAAUAACCAAUAGCGGCACCUGGAUGCUCAUAUUGGAUCCUACAUAUUCUACGAAGAUCUUUUAUCGGUCAGACCGCAUAACAACAUACGUUGUUCCCUUUGUCAUCGGUAUGUUACUUGCCCGAGAUUCGAUCAUCGGUAUCCAAUACCUAGUUCAAUCUCGUUACCGGCAAGUCUCUUUACUCGUUCCGUAAUCCAUCAUCCCGCAACUAACUCAUUAGUCGCAAUGCUUGUAAGGCUUAUGUGAUGUGCAUUACCGAGAGGACCCAGAGAUACCUCUCCGACAAUCGGAGUGACAAAUCCUAAUCUCGAAAUACGCCAACCCAACAUGUACCUUUGGAGACACCUGUAGAGCUCCUUUAUAAUCACCCAGUUACGUUGUGACGUUUGGUAGCAUAAAAAGUGUUCCUCCGGCAAACGGGGGUUGCAUAAUCUCAUAGUCAUAGGAACAUGUAUAAGUCAUGAAGAAAGCAAUAGCAACAUACUAAACGAUCGGGUGCUAAGCUAAAGGAAUGGGUGAUGUCAAUCAGAUCAUUCAUCUAAUGAUGUGAUCCUGUUAAUCAAAUGACAACUCUUUGUCCGUGUUUAGGAAACAUAACCAUCUUUGAUUAACAAGCUAGUCUAGUAGAGGCAUACUAGUGACACUCUGUUUGUCUAUGUAUUCACGCAUGUAUUAUGUUUCCGGUUAAUACAAUUCUAGCAUGAAUAAUAAACUUUUAUCAUGAUAUAUAAGGAAAUAAAUAAUAACUUUAUUAUUGCCUCUAGGGCAUAUUUCCUUCAGUCUCCCACUUGCACUAGAGUCAAUAAUCUAGAUUACACAGUAAUGAUUCUAACACCCAUGGAGCCUUGGUGCUGAUCAUGUUUUGCUCGUGGAAGAGGCUUAGUCAACGGGUCUUCUACAUUCAGAUCCGUAUGUAUCUUGCAAAUCUCUAUGUCUCCCACCUGGACUAGAUCCCGGAUGGAAUUGAAGCGUCUCUUGAUGUGCUUGGUUCUCUUGUGAAAUCUGGAUUCCUUUGCCAAGGCAAUUGCACCAGUAUUGUCACAAAAGAUUUUCAUUGGACCCGAUGCACUAGGUAUGACACCUAGAUCGGAUAUGAACUCCUUCAUCCAGACUCCUUCAUUCGCUGCUUCCGAAGCAGCUAUGUAUUCCGCUUCACAUGUAGAUCCCGCCACGACGCUCUGUUUAGAACUGCACCAACUGACAGCUCCACCAUUUAAUGUAAACACGUAUCCGGUUUGCGAUUUAGAAUCAUCCGGAUUAGUGUCAAAGCUUGCAUCAACGUAACCAUUUACGAUGAGCUCUUUGUCACCUCCAUAUACAAGAAACAUAUCCUUAGUCCUUUUCAGGUACUUCAGGAUGUUCUUGACCGCUGUCCAGUGAUCCACUCCUAGAUUACUUUGGUACCUCCCUGCUAGACUUAUAGCAAUGCACACAUCAGGUCUGGUACACAGCAUUGCAUACAUGAUAGAGCCUAUGGCUGAAGCAUAGGGAACAUCUUUCAUUUUCUCUCUAUCUUCUGCAGUGGUCGGCCAUUGAGUCUGACUCAACUUCACACCUUGUAACACAGGCAAGAACCCUUUCUUUGCUUGAUCCAUUUUGAACUUCUUCAAAAUUUUGUCAAGGUAUGUGCUUUGUGAAAGUCCAAUUAAGCGUCUUGAUCUAUCUCUAUAGAUCUUUAUGCCUAAUAUGUAAGCAGCUUCACCAAGGUCUUUCAUUGAAAAACUCUUAUUCGAGUAUCCCUUUAUGCUAUCCAGAAAUUAUAUAUCAUUUCCAAUCAGUAAUAUGUCAUCCACAUAUAAUAUCAUAAAUGCUACAGAGCUCCCACUAACUUUCUUGUAAAUACAGGCUUCUCCAAAGGUCUGUAUAAAACCAAAUGCUUUGAUCACACUAUCAAAGCGUUUAUUCCAACUCCGAGAGGCUUGCACCAGUCCAUAAAUGGAUCACUGGAGCUUGCACAGUUUGUUAGCUCCCUUUGGAUCGACAAAACCUUCCGGUUGCAUCAUAUAAAACUCUUCUUCCAGAAAUCCAUUCAGGAAUGCAGUUUUGACAUCCAUCUGCCAAAUUUCAUAAUCAUAAAAUGCGGCAAUUGCUAACAUGAUUCGGACAGACUUAAGCAUCGCUACGGGUGAGAAGGUCUCAUCGUAGUCAACCCCUUGAACUUGUCGAAAACCUUUUGCGACAAGUCAAGCUUUGUAGACAGUAAUAUUACCGUCAGCGUCAGUCUUCUUCUUGAAGAUCCAUUUAUUCUCAAUUGCUUGCCGAUCAUCGGGCAAGUCAACCAAAGUCCAUACUUUGUUCUCAUACAUGGAUCCCAUCUCAGAUUUCAUGGCUUCAAGCCAUUUUUCGGAAUCUGGGCUCACCAUCGCUUCUUCAUAGUUCGUAGGUUCAUCAUGAUCUAGUAGCAUGACUUCCAGAACAGGAUUACCGUACCACUCUGGCGCGGAUCUUACUCUGGUUGAUCUACGAGGUUCAGUAGUAUCUUGUUCUGAAGUUUCAUGAUCAUUAUCAUUAGCUUCCUCACUAAUUGGUGUAGGUGUCGCAAAAACAGGUUUCUGUUAUGUGCUACUUUCCAAUAAGGGAGCAGGUACAGUUACCUCGUCAAGUUCUACUUUCCUCCCACUCACUUCUUUCGAGAGAAACUCCUUCUCUAGAAAGGAUCCAUUCUUAGCAACGAAUGUCUUGCCUUCGGAUCUGUGAUAGAAGGUGUACCCAACAGUCUCCUUUGGGUAUCCUAUGAAUACACAUUUCUCCGAUUUCGGUUCGAGCUUAUCAGGUUGAAGCUUUUUCACAUAAGCAUCGCAGCCCCAAACUUUAAGAAACGACAACUUUGGUUUCUUGCCAAACCAUAGUUCAUAAGGUGUCAUCUCAACGGAUUUUGAUGGCGCCCUGUUUAACGUGAAUGCGGCUGUCUCUAAAGCAUAACCCCAAAAUGAUAGCGGUAAAUUUGUAAGAGACAUCAUAGAUCGCACCAUAUCAAGUAAAGUACGAUUACGACAUUCGGACACACCAUUACGCUGAGGUGUUCCGGGUGGCGUGAGUUGCAAAACUAUUCCGCAUUGUUUCAGAUGUAGACCAAACUCGUAACUCAAAUAUUCUCCUCCACGAUCAGAUCGCAGAAACUUUAUUUUCUUGUUACGAUGAUUUUCAACUUCACUCUGAAAUUCUUUGAACUUUUCAAAUGUUUCAGACUUAUGCUUCAUUAAGUAGAUAUACCCAUAUCUGCUUAAAUCAUCUGUGAAGGUGAGAAAAUAACGAUAUCCGCCACGAGCCUCAACAUUCAUCGGACCACAUACAUCUGUAUGUAUGAUUUCCAACAAAUCUGUUGCUCUCUCCAUUGUAUCGGAGAAUGGUGUUUUAGUCAUCUUGCCCAUGAGGCACGGUUCGCAGGUACCAAGUGAUUCAUAAUCAAGAGGUUCCAAAAGUCCAUCUGUAUGGAGUUUCUUCAUGCGCUUUACACCGAUAUGACCUAAACGGCAGUGCCACAAAUGAGUUGCCCUAUCAUUAUCAACUCUGCAUCUUUUGGCUUCAACAUUAUGAAUAUGUGUGUUACUACUAUCGAGAUUCAUCAAAAAUAGACCACUCUUCAAAGGUGCAUGACCAUAAAAGAUAUCACUCAUAUAAAUAGAACAACCAUUAUUCUCUAAUUUAAAUGAAUAACCGUCUCGCAUUAAACAAGAUCCAGAUAUAAUGUUCAUGCUCAAUGCUGGCACCAAAUAACAAUUAUUUAGGUCUAAUACUAAUCCCGAAGGUAGAUGUAGAGGUAGCGUGCCGACCGCGAUCACAUUGACUUUAGAACCAUUUCCCACGCGCAUCGUCACCUCGUCCUUUGCCAGUGUUCGCUUAAUCCGUAGUCCCUGUUUCAAGUUGCAAAUAUUAGCAACAGAACCAGUAUCAAAUACCCAGGUGCUACUGCGAGCUCUAGUAAGGUACACAUCAAUAACAUGUAUAUCACUUAUACCUUUGUUCACCUUGCCAUCCUUCUUAUCCGCCAAAUACUUGGGGCAGUUCCGCUUCUAGUGACCAGUCUGCUUGCAUUAGAAGCACUCAAUUUCAGGCUUAGGUCCAGACUUGGGUUUCUUCUCCUGAUCAACAACUUGCUUGCUUUUCUUCUUGAAGUUCCCCUUCUUCUUCCCUUUGCCCUUUUUCUUGAAACUAGUGGUCUUGUUGACCAUCAACACUUGAUGCUCCUUCUUGAUUUCUACCUCCGCAGCUUUUAGCAUUGCGAAGAGCUCGGGAAUAGUCUUAUUCAUCCCUUGCAUAUUAUAGUUCAUCACAAAGCUCUUGUAGCUUGGUGGCAGUGAUUGGAGAAUUCUGUCAAUGACGCAAUCAUCUGGAAGAUUAACUCCCAUCUGAAUCAAGUGAUUAUUAUACCCAGACAUUUUGAGUAUAUGCUCACUGACAGAACUGUUCUCCUCCAUCUUGCAGCUAUAGAACUUAUUGGAGACUUCAUAUCUCUCAAUCCAGGCAUUUGCUUGAAAUAUUAACUUCAACUCCUGGAACAUCUCAUAUGCUCCAUGACGUUCAAAGCGUCGUUGAAGUCUCUAAGCCGUAAAGCAUGGCACACUGAACUAUCGAGUAGUCAUCAGCUUUGCUCUGCCAGACGUUCAUAACAUCUGGUGUUGCUCCAGCAGCAGGCCUGGCACCCAGCGGUGCUUCCAGGACGUAAUUCUUCUAUGCAGCAAUGAGGAUAAUCCUCAAGUUACGGACCCAGUCCGUGUAAUUGCUACCAUCGUCUUUCAACUUUGCUUUCUCAAGGAACGCAUUAAAAUUUAACGGAACAACAGCACGGGCCAUUUAUCUACAAUUAACAUAAACAAGCAAGAUACUAUCAGGAACUAAGUUCAUGAUAAAUUUAAGUUCAAUUAAUCAUAUUACUCAAGAACUCCCACUUAGAUAGACAUCCCUCUAAUCAUCUAAACCAUAACCGAUCAUCACGUGAAAUGGAGUAGUUUUCAGUGGUGAACAUCGCUAUGUUGAUCAUAUCUACUAUAUGAUUCACGCACGAUCUUUCGAUCUCAGUGUUCCGAGGCCAUAUCUGCAUAUGCUAGGCUCGUCAAGUUUAACCUGAGUAUUCUGCGUGUGCAAAACUGGCUUGCACCCGUUGUAGAUGGACGUAGAGCUUAUCACACCCGAUCAUCACGUGGUGUCUGGGCACAACAAACUUUGGCAACGGUGCAUACUCGGGGAGAACACUUUUAUCUUGAAAUUUAGUGAGAGAUCAUCUUAUAAUGCUACCGUCAAUCAAAGCAAGAUAAGAUGCAUAAAAGAUAAACAUCACAUGCAAUCAAUAUAAGUGAUAUGAUAUGGCCAUCAUCAUCUUGUGCUUGUGAUCUCCAUCCUCGAAGCACCAUCGUGAACACCAUUGUCACCAGCGCGACACCUUGAUCUCCAUCAUAGCAUCAUUGUCAUCUUGCCAAUCUUAUGCUUCUACGACUAUCGCUACCGCUUAGUGAUAAAGUAAAGCAUUACAGGGCGAUUGCGUUGCAUACAAUAAAGCGACAACCAUAUGGCUCCUGCCAGUUGCCGAUAACUCGGUUACAAAACAUGAUCAUCUCAUACAAUAAAAUUUAGCAUCAUGUCUUGACCAUAUCACAUCACAACAUGCCCUGCAAAAACAAGUUAGACGUCCUCUACUUUGUUGUUGCAAGUUUUACGUUGCUGCUGCGGGCUUAAGCAAGAACCAAUCUUACCUACGCAUCAAAACCACAAUGAUAGUUUGUCAAGUUGGUGCUGUUUUAACCUUCGCAAGGACCGGGCGUAGCCACACUCGGUUCAACUAAAGUUGGAGAAACUGCCACCCGCAAGCCACCUAUGUGCAAAGCACGUCGGGAGAACCGGUCUCGCGUAAGCGUACGCGUAAUGUCGGUCUGGGCCGCUUCGUCCAGCAAUACCGCCGAACCAAAGUAUGACAUGUUGGUAAGCAGUAUGACUUAUAUCGCCCACAACUCACUUGUGUUCUACUCGUGCAUAUAACAUCAACAUAUAAAACCUAGGCUCGGAUGCCACUGUUGGGGAACGUAGUAAUUUCAAAAAAAUUCCUACGCACACGCAAGAUCAUGGUGAUGCAUAGCAACGAGAGGGGAGAGUAUGAUCUACGUACCCUUGUAGAUCGACAACGAAAGCGUUAACUUCGUUGAUGUAGUCGUACGUCUUCACGGCCCGACCGAUCAAGCACUGAAACUACGGCACCUCCUAGUUCUAGCACACAUUCAGCUUGAUGAUGAUCCCCGGACUCCGAUCCAGCAAAGUGUCGGGGAAGAGUUCCGUCAGCACGACGGCGUGGUGACGAUCUUGAUGUACUACCGUCGCAGGGCUUCGCCUAAGCACCACUACAAUAUUAUCGAGGACUAUGGUGGAAGGGGGCACCGCACACGGCUAAGAAUAUGAUCACGUGGAUCAACUUGUGUCUCUAGGGGUGCUCCCUGCCUCCGUAUAUAAAGGCUCAAAGAGGGGGGCGGCCGGCCAAGAGGAGGCGCGCCAGGAGGAGUCCUACUCCCUCCGGGAGUAGGACUCCCCCCUUUCCUAAUUGGAAUAGGAUUCGCGGAGGGGGGAAAGAGGAGAGAGAGGAGGAAGGGGGGCCGGCCCCCUCUCCUUGUCCUAUUCGGACCACAGGGGGGAGGGGCGCGCGACCCAUCUCUGGCCACCUCUCCUCUCUUCCACUAAGGCCCACUAAGGCCCAUAUACCUCCCGGGGGGUUCCGGUAACCUCCCGGUAAUCCGGUAAAAUCCCUAUUUCACCCGGAACACUUCCGAUAUCCAAAUAUAGGCUUCCAACAUAUCAAUCUUUAUGUCUCGACCAUUUCGAGACUCCUCGUCAUGUCCGUGAUCACAUCUGGGACUCCGAACAAACUUCGGUACAUCAAAAUGCAUAAACUCAUAAUAUAACUGUCAUCGAAACCUUAAGCGUGCGGACCCUACGGGUUCGAGAACAAUGUAGACAUGAACGAGACACGUCUCCGGUCAAUAACCAAUAGCGGAACCUGGAUGCUCAUAUUGGCUCCUACAUAUUCUACGAAGAUCUUUUAUCAGUCAGACUGCAUAAGAACAUACGUUGUUCCCUUUGUCAUCGGUAUGUUACUUGCCCGAGAUUCGAUCGUCGGUAUCCAAUACCUAGUUCAAUCUCGUUACCGGCAAGUCUCUUUACUCGUUCCGUAAUCCAUCAUCCCGCAACUAACUCAUUAGUCGCAAUGCUUGCAAGGAUUAUGUGAUGUGCAUUACCGAGAGGGCCCAGAGAUACCUCUCCGACAAUCGGAGUGACAAAUCCUAAUCUCGAAAUAUGCCAACCCAACAUGUACCUUUGGAGACACCUAUAGAGCUCCUUUAUAAUCACCCAGUUACGUUGUGGCGCUUGGUAACACACAAAGUGUUCCUCCGGCAAACUGGAGUUGCAUAAUCUCAUAGUCAUAGGAACAUGUAUAAGUCAUGAAGAAAGCAAUAGCAACAUACUAAACGAUCGGGUGCUAAGCUAAUGGAAUGAGUCAUGUCAAUCAGAUCAUUCAUCUAAAGAUGUGAUCCUGUUAAUCAAAUGACAACUCUUUGUCCAUGGUUAGGAAACAUAACCAUCUUUGAUUAACAAGCUAGUCUAGUAGAGGCAUACUAGUGACAAUCUGUUUGUCUAUGUAUUCACACAUGUAUUAUGUUUCCGGUUAAUACAAUUCUAGCAUGAAUAAUAAACUUUUAUCAUGAUAUAUAAGGAAAUAAAUAAUAACUUUAUUAUUGCCUCUAGGGCAUAUUUCCUUCAGUUCCAACACCGAAGGGUAAGGAGACGGGCCCGCGUCAUUUACGUCCGGAAUAUGCGACCUUGAUUCUUUGUCGAUGGUGAUGCCAAGACUAUAGGAUAAGGUGGAUCCGGACACAUGAGCAGAUGAAGUGCCUGACACGAAGUUGGUUAAGGAGCUGGACCCAAGUCAUCUACACCGCAAAUUGGUCGAAGGUGUGCCGUGAAUGAUAGAUGUACUUGAGGGGGGAGAAAGCCUGUGAAAAGAACAUACGGUUGCUCGAUGAUGACACAUGUCUUGAGAGGAUGGCGAGAACCCUAGAUAUGGUUAAGGCACGCCACGAGAACAUCACCCCGGUCGCGAGAUUCUCAGUGGUGUGCGGCAACCGAAGCCAAAAGGGCACCCCCGCAAGACCUUGAAAUGCCAGAGCGGUGGGCGCACAAGCAAUGGUGAGGAAAAUCACAUAAGGUACCAAGCAAGGCCAUCCUGAUCAGGGCUCCAUUGCCAAGCUUAUGUCCACCACUGCGAUUCAGACAAACUUUCAACUGGCGUCUCUGUCUUCUCAAGAUUUCCAUGGUCCCAUCAGGAUGUAUAUAUGUACUUUGUUUAUUUUGAAAAUUAAUAUAUCACCAAAGAAAUUGUAGUACUUGUCAUUCUUUUAAUUACUUAGUAGUUUGCAUGAUAGACUCAAUCUUAUAUUUACUAAUUAGAGGCACCAAAUAAGCGACCACGUUAAUCCUCAAAAACUAAGAAUAUUAUCCAUCCGAUCUCCAUAUUAAGUAUCUGUAGCCGUCCAUUGGACAACUCAAGAGUCCUGGGUUACUAUCCCACGUCAUGCUCCAUGUAAUGUGAAAAAAAAAUCAUCUCCUUGGCCAAAUCCAUCCCACGUCAUGCUCCAUGUAAUGUGAAAAAAAGCAUCUCCCUGGCCAAAUUCUUCCUCCCCUGAUCUAUCAUGUGAGGCACUUGCGCAUCAUCCACAAAUCCCUAGCGCAAAUCCAUCCCACGUCAUGCUCCAUGUAAUGUGAAAAAAAUCAUCUCCCUGGCCAAAUUCUUCCUCCCCCGAUCUAUCAUGUGAGGCACUUGCGCAUCAUCCACAAAUCCCUAGCGCUGCUCUUCCAGGUCGUCCUCCUCCUUCCUAUCUUUUGUUGUCUUAAUGCAAAACGAUUCCGUGAGAUCCUUGUGAUCCUCUUCAUCUUCACGUAGAAAUCUGAACUGUCCCAACCACGCUGCAGAUCUGUGGUCCGUCUUGGACAAAGAGAAGGCCCUUUCAAUCUCCACAGAUGCCAUGCCCCAACCAAACCGCAACCCAUGAUAAACGAUGUUGUUGAGAAGGAGGCGCUACCUAAGUCUGAUCGGACAUAUGCCAUUGUUAGGGAAGCUACAAGUCGAAGAACUAUGGUAGACUGAUUGCGAGUAAUUAAGGAGCUAUCAACGAUCCAGUAGGUUUUUGUUAUUAGGAAUUUUUAUGUAGUGCGACUUGAUCUCAAAGAACAAGUACACCAUUAGAGUUCGUUUUGGAGGAUUUUGAUGAUGUGCGCUUAGUUACAGACUUAUCUAAAUACGUAUAACUAGGAUGGACAAUAUUUGUAGGAGCCAUACAAUCCAAUUAGGGGAUUUAGUUUGUCAAAGAUGUUUCCACAUAUCCCUAGCGCUGCUCUUCUAGGUUGCCCCCUGCUUCCUAUCUACGGUCUUCAAGUAAAGCGAUUUAAUGAGUCUCUUGCUGCAGAAAUUUCAACUGCCACAAGAAGGCUGCAGACCUGCGGUUCAUCUUGGCUGAGGUGUCAUACAAUCCAGUUAAGGGAUUCCAUUCAUUGAAGAUGUGGCUGUACUUUCGCACAACAAACUCAAGCACAUCUUCUUAUGUUCUUAGAAACUAGAUGAGUUGUUUUGGACUUUCUUUGGUCUACUCCUCUAUGCUUCUUAUUGGGAAAGUUAGUAUGCAAAAGUUAUGCCCAUCUUCUUAAAUUCGGAUGUAACUUUUCGAGUAGAUGAUUUUUCAUAUAAAAAACUUUUUCAUCCGAGUUAGUAUGCAAAAGUUAUGCCCAUUUUUACAAAUUUCAGAGAGAUUUUGCAAAUAAAGUGAAAAUUCAGAUUUGCAAAUUUUCCCAACAAGUAGACCACAUAUCACAUGGGAAACUUAUUUUCUUUUAUUUUUUUUGACAUUUCCAUCAUUUUCUUUUAUUUUUUUAAAACUGAAAAGGCGAUCCACAUGGGGGGGGGUAGAGUUUGAAAAUGGGACCUUUAGUACUGGUUCGUGGCACGAACCGGGACUAAAGGUCUCAACCCCAUUAGUCCCGGUUCAUGCCUCAAACCGGGACUAAAGGUCUAAUCGUUAGUCCCGGUUUGAGGCACGAACCGGGACCAAUGGUUUUGUGCCAGGAGCGAGGCCCAUUGGUCCCGGUUCAUCCCACCAACCGGGACCAAAAGGUCCAGAUGAACCGGGACCAAUGGCCCACGUGGCCCGGCCGGCCCCCUGGGCUCACGAACCGGGACCAAUGCCCCCGUUGGUCCCGGUUCUGGACUGAACCGGGACUAAUGGGCUGACCCGGCCUGGACCAAAGCCCUGUUUUCUACUAGUGAGUCCAAUCUUGUGUUUAUUCCUCCAUGUCGGCAAAGAGUCAGUAGUCAAUCACCAAGCAAAAUUGCGCACAGUGGGGGGUACAUCACAUCUCCAUAUAUAUUGCCAGCAUUUUCUACUACCAUCUGGCGAUGUGCUAGAUGCCUCUACAGUAUUUCUGUGAGCUACUUCAAAAGCCAGCAUAUAUGCUGAUUUGACCGUGAAGACAUCGAGCUUCCCCGGCCCCCAUGCAAUCACAUCCUCACCUAAUCUUGGAGAUGCCCAUAUCUUUAAGAUUUCUUCCACAUCAGCUGAUAAGAAGUACUGCUGAAGAAGUACCAAGUUCCAAGAACCAUUAUCAUUUAGCAAGUCGGAGACAAAACGAAUGCGACAUCUUCCCUGCAGCGACACAGGUUUGUACGAAAAGGGCCUUGGAAUCCAGUUAUCUCUCCCCUUUGUUGGUAGUCAGAGUCACUAGGACAACUAACUGUGUUAGCAUCUAGAGUUGUAACAAGCCACAGUCCGCCUAUCUUGGUUGCACAGCGAUGAUGCUACCAUCUCCUACGACAAAGUACAUGCCUUGCACCGGAAACAGCGCAACCAUAUGACAUCUAUCCGAGUGGGCGACCACGUGGUGACCGGGCAUGAGGCCAUGGCUGAGGCCGCCUACAACCACUUCUCCGAUGUGCUCGGAAGUGCCAUGGAGCAUGACAUCACGCUUGAUCUCCGCGUUUUGCGUGUUCAACACAAUGCUACUCCGUGCGGUGGACCUAGGCCUUCUUCGACGCCUUACAACUCGGCACGCGGCCUCGAGUAUAUCGCUAUACGCGGACGAUGUUGUCAUCUUUUGUCACCCGGAUAGCCACCACAUUACCACCGUGUGAACCAUCCUACACAUAUUCGGGCUUCAUACAAACUUCGCCAAGUGUUCUGCCACCCCGAUCCGGUGCGAUGAUGACAACAACAUGAUGAUCACAUCUGAGAUGCAGUGCCCCAUAGCCCAAUUCCCCAUCACAUACCUCGGUUUGCCUCUCUCUAUCUGCAAGGCCUCCACGACUAGCUUGCUCCCAAUCAUUGACAAGAUCGGCCACAAGCUCUCCACUUGGCAUGCUUCCAUGAUGUCCAACGGGCAACGGCGACUGCCUUGCUCUCGUGCAUCACGUACUUAGUGCUAUCCCGACAUACUUCCUCACCACCUUUGCUCUCAACCAAUCCAUCCUCGUGAAAUUCAACCGCAUCAUCCGCGGAUUCCUUUGGGCGGGAGGCACCGAAGGCAAUGGGGGUCAGUGUCAUGUUAACUGACAGCAAGUUUGCAGGCCAAUCUCUCUUGGCGGUCUUAGCAUCAGGGACAUUCAAAGGACCGGCAUCACCCUCUGUGCAUGGUUGCUUUGGUUACAGUGCACCGACCCCUUGCAACCCUCGAGCCACUUACACAUACCUCACGACCCAGACGUGACUGCCAUCUUCAGCGCAUCUAGGACCUGGGAUCUUGGGUCCGGCGUCACCUGCAGAUUCUGGUCCGACCACUUGAUAGAGGGUAGAUCCGUGGUUGAGAUCCCCCCAGUCCUCGCCUCGUCCCUCGACGCCGACGCAAGACUCGCACCGUUCACGAGGGCCUCCACCUUAGAGCCUGGGUGCAAGAGAUUCAUGGAGCACUCGGACCGACGGCCAUGUUGCAAUAUGUUGAUCUUGAGCGACGUGUGCGCCACAUUGACCAGAUGAGCCGGAUACACUCAAAUGGCGCUGGACCGCCUCCGCUAUGAAAUGUCUAUGAUGGGAGAAUUUAAAUUCUUCUUAGGCCUUCAAAUUCUUCAACAGCGCAAUGGCAUCUUCAUAUUUCAGGAGAAAUACCUCAAGGAUGUAUUGUGGAAAUUCGGCAUGAAAGAUUGCAAAGGCGUCAAAAUCCCUAUGCCCACAAAUGGCCAUCUAUGCACUGAUGAAAAUGGUAUUGACUUUGAUCAAAAGGUAUACCGCUCCAUGAUUGGUUCUUUAUUGUAUUUAUGUGCAUCUAGGCCAGAUAUUAUGCUCAGUGUUUGCAUGUGUGCCCGAUUUCAACCUACACUGAAGGAAUCACACCAUAAGGCUGUGAAGCAUAUUCUUCGUUAUCUAGCUCACACACCAACACUUGGAUAUGGUAUCCCAAGGGCUCGGCUUUUGAUCUCAUUGGGUACUCACUCUGACUAUGCGGGUGAUCCUGUGGACCGCAAGUCAACAUCAGGCACAUGCCAUUUCCUCAGGCGAUCCUUGGUCUGUUGGUCCUCGAAGAAACAGAACUGCGUAUCACUGUCUACUGCUGAAGCUGAGUACAUUGCUGCUGGUUCUUGCUGUUCUCAAUUUCUAUGGAUGAAUCAAACCCUCAAGGACUACUACGUCAAUGUAAAGAAUGUGCCUCUCUACUAUGACAAUGAGAGUGCCAUCAAGAUUGCUCAUAACCCACUUCAGCAGUCGAAGACAAAGCACAUUCAAAUUUGUCAUCAUUUUCUUCGUGAUCAUGUGUUGAAGGGCGACAUUUCUAUUGAGCAUGUGAAGACUGGAGAACGGCUAGCCGGUAUCUUCACAAAGCCUUUGGAUGAGAAGAGAUUUAGCAAGUUGCGGUGUGAGCUAAAUAUCCUAGAAUCUUCGAAUGUCCUUUGAAAAGGACACACAUCCUAACACUUGUGCAAAGUUGAUGACUUAGACGUGCAACACACGAAGAAACGUUUUUCUUCAUUCAAUGAAGAUUAACACUCUAAGUGUGAAGAAAUUAACAAAGAAUUUGAUUCUCAGAGCCCUUCGACAAUUGUACAUGGUGUUUGAAAUCAUCAUUCUUAUACGGUGGGUCACGCCACCACCAAAAGUUGAAAAUCUUGAAUUUGAGUUUUUACUCAUUUUUGAAUUUCCUCAGUUGUUCAAAUUCUUCAACCCAUCCCACCUUAUCUUCUCAUACCCACUCCCCCCAAUUCCCUCUCUAUCUCUCCCGCAACCUCCCUUGCGCGGACGCCGCCAAACCACCACCUCCCCUGUGCCGCCGCGCCGCGACCUCCUCUGCGCCGCCGCGCCGCAACCUCCUCUCUGCGGCCGAGUCUGCUCCCCGGCGAUUCCCGAUCCACAACUGCCCCCAUUGCCCUUGCCUUCCUCUGCGCGCCGCCGCUCUAGGUCGCGUCCACCGCGUUCCACCACCACCAGCACAUCAGUACGGCGGUAGUGCGGCCCCGCUUCCGUUCCUCCAUGGCCGACCCCCUACCUCCCACCUUCUCCCUCCCGCCCCGAUCGACAACCUCCAUCACCGCCCCGGUCGUGUUGCCCCUCCCGACCCCGCGCCGCCGGAUCCGGGCAACCACGCCGGCGUGCCCUUCCACAAGCUUUCCCGUCGUGACCCUACCACGAGCUGCUCCAGCCCGACCCUGCUUCUUUAACAACGGCACGGUGGCAACUCCCCUUAGUUCACUCCUGCACCGGGGUCGCGAGCUCCGUUCACGGGCUCGCUGGAUCUCGUGAUUGGGGCGCUGGCGACGUGCUCUCCUACUCCACCGCGCCCCUCCUCUACUUCAGCUCCUAUGCCUGUGCCUCUCGUGGACUCAUCGGCGCACAGGCCGCUCUGGAUCCACGCUGGUUCGAGGCCCUGACGGCCUCCUCUUCCUGCUAAGUCACCGAGAUCCAUCGGGGUAUCAAGUUGUUUUGUCGGCCCAAUACUCCUUCUACCUUCCCUUGCCGGCGGUCGUGCAACUUCGGUGAACACCGCUACUCGCGCGCGGAUGACGACGGCGCAGUGGCACUGCAGUUCGCUUUGCAGGGGAUCCGUUGAUGCGGCCGUGGAGUUCGGCCCACAGGUGCAUGAAGUUAUCUUGCCCCCUCCCACAGUUUACCCUUCCGCAUGAGCCCCAUGCCAUAGUCCAUUGGGAAGAAGCUCGUGGUGCGGAUGUGCGGAUGCUCAGUGACAGUGCUGGUGUGUUUCAGAUUUUGUUUUUCUGCAAUUUGUAGGCGACGCUGGAGCAUUGCAGUUCAUUGGCUCGGGGCGAGCAGUGGAGAGGACACACGUGCGUGCAGUUCCCUGUCCAUUGAAAAUGUAGAAGCCCAUCUUGCUGCAAUGUAUGUGAGCAUAUGGCCUGCAAGUGAUGCUCUUUUCCCAGAUUGAAAACAUUGCAAUGUGGUUGGCUGGCCAUCGACGUGCACUUCGCUUUGGGGGGCAGUACGUUCUUUGUGGACGCGCACUUCGUUCGGCCCGAGCGGCAUGAAGCUCCGUUUGCGCGCAUGUGUGGCUUGGCUAACUAGUUUGUGCAGUCGCAUGAUACCUUUAUUAUGUGAUGCCUCCCUAGUUGCUGGAGUUCACUUCUUUGUAUUUAUUGAAACAUCAUGUAGUGCACUGUGAAACUCUCUGUUGUUCACUUGUAAAAACAAAUAGCGGUUCCCUUUGUAAAAAAAAGUGCAGCCCCUUAGUGGUUCACCUUGUAGAAAAUGAGAAAGAAAUCCCCAUGGGAGGUUCACUUCUUUUUCUAAUGCAAUUUGUUUUGUUUGUGGGAUGAUUGAAAAAAGAAGUUCACUCCACUUGUUUAGCAGCUCAUACCCCUUUGUAUGAAAUGCAAUUUGUUUCGUGUGUCUCAAAAUCAGUCGACUACCUCAACACGUGCAAUGCGUUUGGUUUUUGGAUGUGGUUCAUUUUUUAGAGUGAUGUUGUUCACUUGUGCCGAACAUGAAAGCGCAAAAAAAAUUAGCAAAACAAUAAAAAUAGUAAUGCGGUUCACUACGAUAUAUGAUGUGGUUCACUUGCUCGCGUCUCUGCGGUCCACUCUUGUUCAUAAAAAUUGAAAAAAACAUCAAAAACUCGUCCGAGAAAAAUUUACAUCCGACAAAGGAAACCAUGAAGUUCACUUGCCUGCCUGAUGCAGUGCGGUUUCGUUCGAUGCAGUGCGGUUUUCUGUCGAAUGACGUUCACUCACCGAUUUGGGUGUCGCAAAAAAUAGUAUCUGCAUUUUCGUAAUUUUAAAAUUGCUUUUAAACCGUAAGGAAUUAGAGAGAGUGUUCUACAUGAAAAAGUUGCGUCUCGUCGAUAUUUUUCCAAUGCCAUAUCAUUUGAAUCAUUUUGACAAGCAGUUUGUAAAAAUUUCACAAAAAACGACCGCUGCCAGUCAUCGUCCGCCACACCAUUCUAAAAAUUAACUUAAAACCGUAGUGAAUCUCGAAACCAAUUCUACAUAUAAAAGUUGCGCCUUGUCCAUAGCUUUCCAACGACGUAUUACACGCCUCAUUUCGAUAAACGGUUCAAAAACUAGAGUGAAAACAGUAUCGAAAGUUGCAAAAAUUUCAAAAAAUGUAAUUUCGCGAUUUAGUAAAUUUGAAACUGCUCUUAAACCGAAAUGAAUUAGAGAAAAUAAUAGAUAUGGAAAAGAUGCGCCUCAAUGAUAUCUUUCCAACGGCGUCUCAUUUGCUUUAUUCUGAUGAGCGGUUUUGAAAAAAUCAAGAAAAUACGCUCGCUGCCACUCGUCAUCCGCAGCACCGUUUUUGAAACUGCUCUUAAACCGCGAGGAUCUCGAAAAGUGUUCAACAUGGCAAAGUUGCGCCUAAUCCAUAGCUUCUCCACGGUAUAUUACACGCGUCAUUCCGAUAAAUGGUUAAAAAAUUAGAGCGAAAAAACUACCAAAAAUACACAGCGUGUAGUUUUUUCGACACGAAGUUCACUCGCCUGAGUACUGCAGCACACUUGGUUCAAACAAUGACGUGCAGUUGCGUUGAGCGUGCACUUCGGAAGUGUUAUCAGAAUAACUAUUCUGUUAAUAUUAGCAUAAUAGACCGACUGUAUAUUAUUCUGUUACGCGUAACAGGAUAUUAUUCUGUUACCCUAUGGUGAAUUCAAGCAGUUGAACUGAUGCUUUCUGUUCCUAUUAAAAAUCGUCUUCUUUAGUUCAAAAGUUUUUGCAAUUUUUUUAUCAAAACAGGGCGUGUAAUAUAUCGCUGGAAAGCUCUUGACAUCUACAUUACAAUCUUGUAAUUUGUUUUUGCAAAAAAUUAUGAUUUACGAGCAGUUUUGAAAAACCCGUUUUUUUUCAAGCCGAAAACGCGAAUCGUAUUUUGGACUUAAUUUUCAAACGGUUUGUCGGAAUUGAGCAAAUGAGAUGGCAUUGGAAAGCUUGUGAAAAUCCGCAUCUUCUAUAUUUCUACUAUUUUUUCAAAUUCUAUAUGAUUUAAAAGUAAUUUGAAAAACGGUGAAAUUCUGGGCGAAAUGUUUUUUCACUAUUUUUUUGCAAACGGUUUGUAGGAUUGACACAAAUGAUAUGGUGUUGGAAAGCUAUGGAAAAUGCGCAAAUUUUGCAUAUAGAAAGUUUUUUCUAAUUCCUUACGAUUUAAAUACGAAUUCAAAUACAGUUAAAAUUGAUUUUGAACGUGUUUUUUAAAAAGUUUGUCGAAAUGGAGAAAAUAAUAUACCAUUGGAUAGCUAUCGAAAAUGCAAAACUUAGUCAUGUUGGACGUUUUCUCUACUUCACAACCAUUUAAGAGUAAUCUUCAAUACGGCAUGACGGAUCCUGCUGUUUUCUCGUCUGAAAAACAGAUUAGUCGUACUGAUAUAUGUGUAUGUUUGUACUGAGCUAUUUUUUGUAGAGUAAUUUUAAGUGGUUCCGAAAAAAUGUUCUUAUACUGAUGCUUGCGUGGUUUUGUACUAAACGUGUUUUCACUAACUAGACUUUGCUCUGUUUUUUCAUGAGACCCAUCAUGCUGUUUUUUCGUGAGAAAAAACAGAGUACUUGUACUGAUCUACAUGUGUGUUUGUACUGAUGUAUUCUUCGAAGAGUAAUUUUGAAAGGUUCCGAAAAAGGAGUACUUGAACUAAUGUCCGUAUGGGGUUGUACUGAGCGUUUUUUCACAGACUAGACUUUACUCUAUUCUUUUUACCGAAAAUUGUUUCAUCAAUUGUUCGCAAAUGAUAGUACGAACUAAGAUAUGUGUUGGUUUGUACUGAGCAUUUGUUUCAUCAUUUGUUCGCAAUUGAUAGUACGAAUGGAGCUUUGUUCAUUUUUAUACUGAGCAUUCUUGUCAGUGCCAGGAUCUCCGGAUUUAUGUUGUUUUGUUCUGCGAACUUCCUCAAAAUUUUAUUGGUAAAUCACACCAUUUUUUUCUUUUGCUAAAUUUUUGUCCUCUGAACUUGUGACGGAUGGAGUUUGUACUGAUAUGAAUCAUUUUGCCGAACCGCCACAAUUUUUUGUGUAUUGAAUCACUAUAUAACUUAGAACCAAAUUGUUUUUCUUAACAUAUAUUUGAAUUGUUUCUAUAUGUACAUUGAAUUGGGGAAGAGUAGCAAAAGUUAUACAUACUUUAUGGAUAGUAAUACAUGAAUUUCUUGGUAAACUGAAGAAUGUACUCUGGACCGUAAUACAUGUCCUCUCGAGUUUGUACUGAUGUGAAUCCUUUUGAACUUGCUCUCGACGGUAAUACAUGCCCUCUCGAGUUUGUAAUGAUGUGAAUCCAUUCGAACUUAUGUGGCUUACAUCAUUGAACGGACUCUAUUCUUCUCACUACCACCAUUGUUCUGUCCAUUUCUUUUCGGACUUGCAUGGCUUACAUCGUUGAACGGGCUUAGGUGGAUAUGUACUAAUGAACUACUGUGAUUUGUAGCUCUCAGGAAAUGGAAUCCUUUCUUUCCCUGUUAUUCUGAAUACCAAACAGCAAAAAAUGAGUUCUCAUAAGCACGAAAAAAUAUAUAUGUACCCCUAAAUUUUGCAGCUAUUUUGUCCUCUUUCAUUUUGAAAAAACAUACAAAAAGCAAAAGCACAAACUAUACAAAAGGUUUUAGACACCAAACCAGUAGAGAAUUAAAAAUAAGCAUCAGGCAGCAACUUGCUAAAGAUAGCACGAGUCAUAUACAUACGCAUUUCAUCCCAUUAUACUUCUCCACCCGCAUGGAAAGUGAGAGAACCUCCCUACAUGCAUAUACAGGCAUCAAACUCCCUCUGUACCUAAACUAUAUUUUUGUUUGAUAUAUAUUGUGAACUCCUCUUGUCGAUGUACAUGAACCUGCUGUGCAGAGAGAUGAAAUGUAGUACAUCAGUCUAGCUUCAUUCAGCUAGAGAGAAACAUGAAAAAAUGUUCAGUUUUUUGGACGGCUUUCCUCUUUUUCUUUGUCCAAUUCCGCGCCACGACUGCCACCAUCCUGCAUGCAAGCUUAAAAUUAAUUGAAGCCACCAAACAUGCACUUUCAUGAGACUUUGCUACUAUAAGUCAGCGAACAUAUCUUUAGUAUUAAACCAAAGGCACACUUAUUAACCAGCACUCUUGUUCAGUUCAGAGCAUCAUCAAUAAGAUAAAGAUACGGAAACAUUAAGCCAAUAUAGAACAACUGGAUUGAUUUGACUCAAAUUUUUACUUUCAAUGCAUUGUAGGCAACAGCCGAUCCAAGUCAGAACUGAUGUGAUUUAUUCCAUUGAACUGAUAUGAAAGUUUAUCUAUACUGUUCUGUUUUUUAACACACACGUUUUGAACUAUUCCCGCUUUUUUCAUUAUGAAUUGAUGACAUAAGACAUGUUGAACUGUUACACAAGAGCAAAAUUCAGAAAUACAUAACAAUGGUGUACUCAAAAUAUGUGCAUUUUAAGGAACAAAACUUUCUGAACCUUCUAUACGAAAAACUUCAACUAUCAGUCCAAAGAGAUUUGAAGUUAAACAAUCAUUUCCCUUACCGAGUGUUAAGGAAAACGAAACCAGAGAUGACCUCGCCGACAGUAGGAGUAGCGAUGGCUGCCAAGGCGACGCGUUGGUACAUGUACUAAACAUCUGCUCAAACCUGUUGUAACAUCUACUUCAAGCUUUUUCUAAAUCAUUGUUGGGAGUAGAGGGUUUUAAAAGAAAAUACAGAGUGCCAAAGAAAGAAAGGAACAACCUAUUUAUCUAAAGGACUGUGAUAUUUGGCACACGUGUGCCAUAUAAGCAAAACUGCCACACCUCUAUUUCUUUCAUUUUAAAGUACCAUACGAUCCCUCGUUCUUUGACCCCGCCUCUUCCCAAAUUACCCCGCAGGCUCGCCUGAGAAACCUGCUUCUCCCGCACAUCUCGGGCGCUUACCCCCGAGAAAACUGCCACUUCUUCACGUCUACCACAUGAUUUCUCCUUAGGACAAAGUUACCAUGAUAUUCAUAUGAAAGUUAUCAGGCCUGUGUUGCAUAACUUACCAUACUAUUUACAUAGAACGUAUCAGGUACUAUGCUUCAACAACUACACCCUUUCAAAGUUACCACUGUGUUUUGUACACAAGUUAUAAGGUCUUUGAUGUGUAAAAUACCGUGGUACUUACACAUAAGUUAUCAGGGUAUAUGUACAUCAACCUCCCCCCGGUCAAAGUUACCAUGGGGGAUUGUACAUGAGUUACCGGGUCUACGGUUCGUAUAUUAUCAUGGUACUAGCACCUAAAAACAUGGGUGUGUUUCGGUAGCUUUUCACAUAGGUCAAAAAUUACCAUGAUGUUUUUGCGUAACUUAUCACGCCUAUAGCACGUGUGCCCCUCGUGACACUAAACAUUAUGUGACUUUCCCGUGGCAUGCCAUGUGUUGUGUUCAUCCAAGAGGCCCACGCGCGAGGCAAGUGUAUGUUUUUAACAACUUAUAUAUUUUCCUUUGGUAAAAAAGUUAUCAUCAUGUUUAUAUUGCAAGUUAUCGGUUAUGCGGUGCUUAUAUUAUCAUGUUAUUUACACAAAAAUUAUUGGGGAUGUUUUGAACAACUUUUUCCCGAGGCAAAAAGUUAUCAUGGUGAUUCUAGGUAACCUAUCAAGCCCGUAGUGCUUAAAAUAUCAUGCUAUUUACAUAAAAUUUAUCAGGGAUAUGCUUCAGCAACAAAUUCCACCCCCCAUGGGUCAAAAAUCUAUCAUGGUGUUUAGUUAUCGCAGUGCAUAUGUUUUCAUACUAUUUACACAUAAAAAUGCCAGGGGAGGGAGGUAUACUACCGUGCUAUUUACAAAGAAGUUACCGGAGUAUCUUAAAAAAAUUGCCUACGGUCAAAGUUACCAUGGUGCUUCUACCUCAGUUAUCAGAUGUGCGCUGUGUAUAUUACCAUCUAUUUACACAUAAACUAUCAGGUAUCUUUUCACAUUUGUUUUCCCCAAUGGUUAAAGUUACCACGAUGUUUGUAUCUAAAUUAUCAGGUCUAUGGCGUGAAUGUUAUCGUACUAUUUACAGAAAUUACCGGAGGGCGGGUUCAACAAAUUUAUUCCCAAUGAUCAAAGUUACCACGAUGCUUGAAACAAAAAGUUGCUAACGUAUUAAAGGCAAAAACAUGUCAAAAACAGUAUUACCCUUAGAAUGUUCAACAAUGAGUAUCAUAGGUGAGGUGGUUAGCUCCCUUUGUUAAUUACCUGCAGACCAGAGAUCAAAUCCUAGUAUAAGCAUUAUUUUUGCUGAAAAUCGAGAAGGCAUGUGGGGCCAUAAAUGACGAUUACAAAAAUUAGAAAGGCACAAGCGGGAGAGAAUUGAUGACAUUUGAUGCGUGUGGCAGUUUCACAAUCUGCCACACGGUUGCCAUAUACAUAUUUCGUUAUCUAAAUAGUGUGUGGAAUUGUUUACACAGAUGAACAAAACAUUACUUGAAGUAGAGGUUCUGCCAAAAGAAAGAAAGAGCAUCUUGCAGGUUCAAGUUUGAGUAGUUGAGCCAGACAAUUUAUCGUAGGCGUUGUAUGUAAUAAUAAUUUAAUUAUUUUCAUAGGAGUACGACUCAUAGUAUCGGCAUGGAGGUCGUGAACAAAAGCAGAAGUAUCCUUAAUUUUUUAUUAGUGAUUGUAAUUUUCCUUAUAAAGAACAUACUACUCUCGUGUAAACCCAUCCCUCUACAUAUGUACUGUCAGUUUUUUGCAAAUCGAACAAAUUGCGUAUGUAGCAAGUGCUAGUAUCUUGAAAUGCAGUUAUGCGUAUGCCCCUAAGAGUAGGUGAAUAGAAAACUCGAACCAAAAAUGGCUUUCUCCUAAUAGUAAUCGUGCUAGAACUCAUUCAAAGCUGAAGUGAACUAUAAUUAUAACCAGCCUUUGUCAAUAGAAGUCCUACUGAUCACAAAUUCCUCUAAUUUCCUCCAGACUCAAGAUCAAGAUGGUGGACAGUGCACGGAUAUUACAAAAUUAACAAUUCACAAUACGAAUUAAAUAUCACAAAUUGCAAGGUACAAGUUUUGAGCACAUACAAUCUUUCAUUGGUAGGCAACACUACAACUUUGGAGGUCAACACAUUAGGCAAACUCUUUGGAAUUAAGAUAGUGAAAAGUAAAUGUAUGCGAAAGCAAGCUUCAGUUCAGUAAACCAUCAAGCCCAGAUUGCUGCACUCCGAAUUUCCUUUAGACUUGUACGCUACCUUCAGGUCAGCAAGCUUUAUGUUCAGCAAGUGUGUAACAAAACAAGAAUUGAACUGGAAUAGAAUUUGAAAUUUGAACUGAAAUACAAUACGAAAACUAAACUGAGUGUACUUUCAGAUUUUCACAUGGGCAUCAGUGCAUGAAGCACCAAUGAAAUUGAACUGAAACAAACUUCAGUUCAACAAACUUAUAUGAAGUUAUAUGAAGCAUGCUUGAAUGCGUUGACCCGAAGCAUGCUUGUAGGAGAGUAGUGGCACUGGAAGCGAGCCUUUUGCUGAACUUAUAUGAAGUUAUAUGAACUUGUCUAACUUAUAUGGAACUUAUAUGAAGCCUUUUGCUGAACUUAUAUGAAGUUGACCAGACAAGAUGAUACCGAGGCGCAUCAGAAUAUAGGAGAGUGGUGAUGCAAGUCAGUCACCGGCUGGGUAAUGAAGCGGGUGGUAUGCGGCAUGGAGACAACCAGAAAACGGGACAUCCAGGGGUAGGGAGCAUCGUCGCUGAAGAUCAGAGAGUGUGGAGCGCAGGCGUGCAGUGUCCCCCGGCCGGCACCGGAGACGAAGGAGAUCGGGGAUAGUGCACUUUUUUCGUCAGCCUACAAGAUGCUCAAGGACCAGGACAACAUGUAGUUUCAGAAUUACAGAUUGUGGUCAGCUAUAGGAUGUUUCUGGGACCAUGUUUUAGCUACGAGAGAGCAACAACAUCACAUCAUGAGAGAGAGGAUGCAACAUCAAAAAUUCAGGAGAAAGAUCAGAGCAGAGCAGAAGUAAAUAUGUUUUGAGGAGAUGAACUGACCAGGAUUUAAAUGAACUCUCACUAGCAGUAAUUUUUGUACUUCGCAUGUAGUACUACAUGGACUUGCUGUAAAAUACAUUGACCAUGUAGUAAUUUUGAAGUUAAUUAUCACUACUGCAGAACCGGGCAAUAGCACCGGUUCGUAAGGCCCUUUGUGCCGGUUUCGGAAUCGGCACUAACAUUUCGGCACUAAAGCCCCCCCCCCCUUUAGCACCGGUUCAGCAUGAACCGGUGCUAAAGGGCAACCACGUGGCACGAGCCAGCUCCGGGGGCCGAGAGCCCUUUAGUACCGGUUGGUAACACCAAUCGGUACUAAAAUGUUUGGGGGGGUUUUGGUUUUAUGAUUUCUUUUUCAUUUAAUUUUGUGUUUUCCAUUUUAAUUCUUUUUCGUUUGCUGGUAUUUUACGGUACUACACAUUGUACACGUUAUGCAUAUAUAUAUAUAUAGAAUUUCUAGUAGAACCAAUCAUAUAUAUAUCAUCAAUGUCUCACAAACCACCAUAUUAAUUUACACAUACACACAUGUAUAGCUAUAUACAAUUUCUCCUACAUAUGCAUGUUGCCUUCGGAGCCAGUUGCAUUAGCCUAAUUGGUGCCUUCGGAGCACGAUGACAAUUGGAAGUGGUUCAUGACCUGUUCGAUGGGGGCGGUAGCGGGUAAUAGUAUUCUCCCUUCGGAUUUAUGACCUGGUCGAGCAAAAAUCCCGCUAUUUCCUCUUGAAGUGCUUCUACGCGCUCCAUUUCUAGGAGCUUGUCCCGCACCUCUUUGAACUGUUAAGAAGGAGAUCGAUAUGCAUGUGUAUUAGUUGUGUGACUAGAUAUCGAUAAUGGUGUAAAAAUUAUGAAUAGUGUUCUAACAAGAGUACCCAUUCCUGUCUUUGAGAUCUGCUCCUUUCGGAUGCCAUCAUGCGAAUGUUCUCGCAAAUGCAGAAUGCACACAGAUUAGUCCCCUACGCCUGCUUCAGGGCCUUUAUUACGAGAAUGGAAUUUAAUUUGAUCAGAUAAUAAUUAAUCAAGCAUGAUAAUUAAUGAGAUGGCAACUAGCUAGCUAGGUAGUACUACUUAAUUUGAUCGAAUACUACAGAAGAAUCUAGGACACUCGCGGUUCCUAUGGCGCGGGCGGUGGACACCCAAAGAGAAGGAACCCUCACAGGAUCAUAGCUGAAGUGAGAUCCCUGAAGAAACUGCCAGGUAUUGGAGAACCUGACGCCCUCUAACGCAACCAUGUAGCGAUGGACGUGCUCGUCCUCCUCCCUGACACGACAACGUACCACCUCCGGCAGGGCUGGUUCCCUCCGCACCGAAACUGGCCCACGCGAACGCAACCAAACGAGAUCAGGGUCGACGACGGGACCCGGGGCCGGGUUCCUCAUCAAGCGGCGCGCCCCUCCAAGCAGCACCUCCCAGUGCCAGCCCGGCGGAGCCCAGUCCCGGACAUGGGUCAGCUGGACGUCGUCGCGGACGUAUCGACGGCGAGGAUGCGGGCCGGGCAUCGUCGACAACAAAUACUAGCUAUAUGCCCGCAAAAAGUAACAUUUUUUUAAUGAUUGGAUUUUGAUAACUAAAAUUUCUAACAUUCUAUAACAUUUCUAACAAUGCUAUAUAUAACUAACAUUUCUAUAACAUUUCUAAUAUUUCUAUAACUAAAAAAAGAAAAAUUUCUAACUUUUUUAUAACUAUUUCUAUAACUAAAAAACAGAAAAAAUUCUAACAAUUCUAACUUUUUUAUAACUAUUUCUAUAACUAAAAAACAGAAAAAUUUCUAAUAAUUCUAACUUUUUUAUAACUAUUUCUAUAACUGAAAAACAGAAAAAAUUCUAACAAUUCUGACAAUUCUAACAAUUCUAACAUUUCUAACAUUUCUAACUAUUGUAACAAUUCUAACAUUUCUAACUAUUUCUAAAAAACAGAAAAAUGUCUAACUAUUUCUGAAAAACAGAAAAAUCUAUAACUAAAAAUGUAUGUGUGUGUGUGCGNNNNNNNNNNNNNNNNNNNNNNNNNNNNNNNNNNNNNNNNNNNNNNNNNNNNNNNNNNNNNNNNNNNNNNNNNNNNNNNNNNNNNNNNNNNNNNNNNNNNNNNNNNNNNNNNNNNNNNNNNNNNNNNNNNNNNNNNNNNNNNNNNNNNNNNNNNNNNNNNNNNNNNNNNNNNNNNNNNNNNNNNNNNNNNNNNNNNNNNNNNNNNNNNNNNNNNNNNNNNNNNNNNNNNNNNNNNNNNNNNNNNNNNNNNNNNNNNNNNNNNNNNNNNNNNNNNNNNNNNNNNNNNNNNNNNNNNNNNNNNNNNNNNNNNNNNNNNNNNNNNNNNNNNNNNNNNNNNNNNNNNNNNNNNNNNNNNNNNNNNNNNNNNNNNNNNNNNNNNNNNNNNNNNNNNNNNNNNNNNNNNNNNNNNNNNNNNNNNNNNNNNNNNNNNNNNNNNNNNNNNNNNNNNNNNNNNNNNNNNNNNNNNNNNNNNNNNNNNNNNNNNNNNNNNNNNNNNNNNNNNNNNNNNNNNNNNNNNNNNNNNNNNNNNNNNNNNNNNCGAGAGGCGACGGGGGGCGCGCGGCGACGGGGACGGCGACGGGCGCGGCGACGACGGGAACGGGGACGUACGGGCCGGGGCGGCGAUGACGACGGGGACGGUGACGACGCGGCCGGGACGGGGCGGCGGUGACGACGGGGACGGGACGACGGAGCGGCGACGACGGGGACGGGGCGGCGACGGGGGCGGCGACGGGCCGGGGCGGCGACGAGGGAUAUGGAGACGGCAGGGGCGGCGUGCGAUGGUGCAGAGGAGAAGAAGCAGACGGAGAGAUGAGAAACUGACGAAAUUUUGAAGUGUUUUCUUAUAUAGAACCCACCUUUAGUACCGGUUGGAGCCACCAACCGCUACUAAAGGUCUGUUUUGGCUAGCCCAAGCGGCGGGAAGCGACCCCCUUUAGUACCGGUUGGUGGCUCCAACCGGUACUAAAGGCCCCCCCUUUAGUACCGGUUGGUUCCACGACCCGGUACUAAAGGGUGUGCACUGCCAGGCGAGGGGCACAAAAGUUUAGUCCCACCUCGCUAGCCGAGGGGCACUCGCACCUGCUUAUAAGUCCCGCCGUCGCUGCUGUCUCGAGCUCCUCUCUUAAGCAGGCCUACUGGGCCUACCUCUUCUGCGAUGCCCUGUUGGGCCUACUGGGCUAGCGGGCCUGCAUCCUGGUCCAACUUGAAUUUGGGUUUCUAGUCGUAUGCAGGCCGCUGUGGCCCAGUAGGUGGGCUUUCUUUUCUUAUUUUUUUGCUUUAUUUAUUUUUGUGAAUAACUUAACUUUGAAAAUAUAUUUUUCAGUGAUUCUUUUUUCUUAUGUUUAAUAUUAGUGUGUUUUAUCAUUAUAUUCAAUUUGGUAAUGCUUAGGUUAUUUAAAAAAUGAAAUGCCUUUGUAACGGAUGAGUUUUCGUCCGAAACCCUGAUACUUCGAAACAGAUUGUCCAUUUUGUACACGAAGUGCAUCCAGUUUUUGCGGUAACCCUCUCUACUUUUUUGCACAUGCUAUGUGGGUGAAAUUAUGAUACCAUGCCAACUUUCAUCCUUUUCUGAGUUCAUUUGAAAUGCUUUUCAAUUUCAGGGUCAUUUAGCUGAAAAAAUCAGUAAAUGCAUGAAAGAAUUUGCUUGCACAUAAAAGUUCUUCACGUUUCAAAUGCCAAAACACAUAACUAGCUACCCUAACUAUUACAGAGAUUGCCUCCUGGGUGUGAAACACAGAAGAAAGUGAUGAUAGUUAAGCCGAUCACAUCCCAGAUCUUUGGGUGUGAAACUUUUUCUUCGCGUGUGUCCUUUUGCAUCGUAGCCAUGGAAAAUCUUCAUCAUUUAACGGGAUGCUCGGGUCAAUAUUCACUGUGAAUGGAGCAAUCUCAUCAAACUUUUCAUAAUCUUCUGACUUGUCUGUCUUGUCAUCCACUCCCACGAUGUUUCUCUUCCCAUAAAGAACUAUGUGCCUCUUUGGCUCAUCGUACGAUGCAUUCGCUUCCUUAUCUUUUCUUUUUCUUGGCUUGAUAGACAUGUCCUUCACAUAGAAAACUUGUGCCACAUCAUUGGCUAGGACGAAUGGUUCGUCUGCAUACGCAAGAUUGUUGAGAUCCACUGUUGUCAUUCCGUACUGCGGGUCUUCCGUUACCCCGCCUCGUGUCAUAUUGACCCAUUUGCACCGAAACAAAGGGACCUUCAAACCACGUCGAUAGUCAAGUUCCCAUAUGUCCUGUAUAUAACCAUAAUAUGUUUCCUUUCCCGUCUUGGUUUCUGCAUCAAAGCGGACACCACUGUUUUGGUUGGUGCUCUUCUUAUCUUGGGCGGUCGUGUAAAAUGUAUUCAUUUAUCUCGUACCCUUUGAAAGUCAUUAUAUUCGAAGAUGGUAACUGGGACAGCAAGUACAGGUCAUCUUCAAUAGAGGUGUCAUGCAUGGUACGUGCUUGCAACCAGCUGGCGAAACUCCUGGUUUGUUCACGUGUAAUCCAGUCAUCAGACCGCUUCGGGUGUUUGGAGCAUAGCAAAUUCUUGUGUUCAUCCAUAUACGGAGCCACCAAGGCGGAAUUCUGUAGAACUGUGUAGUGUGCUUCAGUGAGAGAAUGUCCGUCCAUACAUAUUAUUUGUUCCCCUCCUAGCGUGCCUUUUCCAUCUAGUCUGCCCUUAUGCCGCGAUUCAGGAACACCAAUCGGCUUAAGGUCAGGAAUAAAGUCAAUACAAAACUCAAUGACCUCCUCAUUUUGACGGCCCUUAGAGAUGCUUCCUUCUGGCCUAGCACGGUUAUGAACAUAUUUCUUUAAGACUCCCAUGAACCUCUCAAAGGGGAACAUAUUGUGUAUAAAUACAGGACCCAAAACGUUAAUCUCUUCGCAUAGGUGAACUAGGACGUGCGUCAUGAUGUUGAAGAAGGAUGGUGAGAACACCAACUCGAAACUGACAAGACAUUGCACCAAAUCAUUCUGUAACCUUGGUAUGAUUUCUGGAUCGAUUACCUUCUGAGAGAUUGCAUUGAGAAAUGCACAUAGCUUCACAAUGGCUAAUCGAACAUUUUCCGGUAGAAGCCCCCUCAAUGCAACCGGAAGCAGUUGCGUCAUAAUCACGUGGCAAUCAUGAGACUUUAGGUUCUGGAACUUUUUCUCUGCCAUGUUUAUUAUUCCCUUUAUAUUUGACGAGAAGCCAGACGGUACCUUAAUACUAAACCCGGGCAUGGGCAGCCCGGCCCAACGACCCGGCCCGAGCCCGGCCCGAAAAACUCGGGCCGGGCCGGGCCGGGCUUGACAUUCGGGCCGGGCUCGGGCUUUGUUUUUCAGCCCGAAAGAUAGUUCGGGCCGGGCUCGGGCUUUAAUUUUUCCGUAUUUCGGGCCGGGCUUUCGGGCUUCGGGCCGGGCUUGCACGUGCGCGUACUAAAAAACAACAUUCGGGCCGGGCUUUCGGGCUUCGGGCUUGAUUUCGGGCCGGGCUCGGGCUUGAAAAUGUGGAGUAUUUCGGGCUUCGGGCCGGGCUUGGGCUUGAGAAAUGAAGGUCGGGCUUUUACAAGCUCGGCCCGAAACCCGGCCCGGCCCGACGUUUGCCCAGGUUUACUUAAUACUGAGCAGGCAUUCAAAGAAGAUUUCCUUCUCUUCUUUGGUAAGAGCGUAGCUUGCAUGACCCUGAUGUAUGCCGUCUUUUUCGUGCAUACGUUGCUGGUCCUCCCGUGCCUCAGGUGUAUCUUUUGUCUUCCCAUACACGCCCAAGAAGCCAAGCAGGGUCACACAAAGAUUCUUCGUCACGUGCAUCACGUCGAUUGCGGAGCGGACCUCAAGGUCUUUCCAAUAGGGCAGGUCCCAAAAUAUAGAUUUCUUCUUCCACAUGGGUGCGCGUCCGUCAGCGUCAUUCGGAACAGAUUGUCCACCAGGACCCUUUCCAAAGACCACCUUCAAAUCCUUGACCAUAUCAUGUACAUCAGCACCAGUACGAUGGCGAGGCUUCGUCUGGUGAUCCGCCUCACCUUUGAAAUGCUUGCCUUUCUUUCUUACGGGAUGCCUGCUCGGAAGAAAUCGACGAUGUCCCAGGUACACAUUCUUAUUAGCCAAAUAUAUACUGUCGGUAUCGUCCAAACAGUGCGUGCAUGCACGGUAUCCCUUGUUUGUCUGUCCUGAAAGGUUACUGGGAGCAGGCCAAUCAUUGAUGGUCACGAACAGCAACGCCUUUAGGUCAAAUUCUUCCCCCAUGUGCUCAUCCCACGCACGUACACCUGUUCCAUUCUACAGUUGUAAGAGUUCUUCAACUAAUGGCCUUAGGUACACAUCAAUGUCGUUGCCGGGUUGCUUAGGGCCUUGGAUGAGCACUGACAUCAUAAUGAACUUUCGCUUCAUGCACAACCAAGGAGGAAGGUUAUACAAACAUAGAGUCACAGGCCAGGUGCUAUGGUUGCUGCUCUGCUCCCCAAAAGUAUUAAUGCCAUCUGCGCUUAGACCAAACCAUACGCUCCUUGCAUCAUCUGCAAACUCCUUCCCGUACUUUCUUUCGAUUUUUCUCCACUGUGACCCGUCAGCGGGUACUCUCAACUUUCCGUCUUUCUUACGGUCUUCUCUGUGCCAUCGCAUCGCCUUGGCAUGCUCUUUGUUUUGGAACGAACGUUUCAACCGUGGUAUUAUAGGAGCAUACCACAUCACCUUGGCAGGAAUCUUCUUCCUGGGGCGCCGGCCCUCGACAUCACCAGGGUCAUCGCGGCUGAUCUUAUAGCGCAAUGCACCACAUACCGGGCAAGCGUUCAAAUCCUCGUACUCACCGCGGUAGAGGAUGCAAUCAUUAGGGCAUGCAUGUAUCUUCUGCACCUCUAACCCUAGAGGGCAGACAACCUUCUUUGCUUCGUACGUACUCUCGGGCAAUUCGUUGUCCUUUGGAAGCAUAUCCUUUAUCAUUACCAGCAACUUUCCAAAUCCCUUGUCAGAUACACCAUUCUCUGCCUUCCAUUGCAGCAAUUCCAGUGUGGUGCCCAGCUUUUUCUUGUCACCUACGCAAUUCGGGUACAACAAUUUUUUGUGAUCCUCUAACAUGCGCUGCAACUUCUUCUUCUCCAAAUCACUUGCGCAGUUUCUCUUUGCAUCGGCAAUGGCCCGACCUAGAUCAUCAACGGGCUCAUCUGAUGCCUCUUCUUCAGCUUCUUCCCGCAUUGCCGGCUCAGCUUCUUCCCGCAUUACCGGCUCAGCUUCUUCCCCCAUUGUUGUAUCAUCAUAUUCAGGGAACCCAUGGCCAGGAUAGCUGUCGUCGUCCUCUUCUUAUUCAUUGUCUUCCAUCAUAACCCCUAUUUCUCCGUGCUUGGUCCAAACAUUGUAAUGGGGCAUGAAACCGGACUUAAACAGGUGGACGUGAAUGGUUCUUGACGUAGAGUAAUUGUGACCAUUCUUACAGCGAGCACAUGGACAAGGCAUAAAACCAUCCGCCUGCUUGUUUGCCUCAGCCGCAAGCAGAAAAGUAUGCACGCCCUCAACGAACUGGGGAGAGCAUCGGUCAUCGUACAUCCAUUGCCGGCUCAUCUUCAUUACACAACACCGAAUAGACCAAAUUAAUACAAGUUCAUACAUAAAGUUCAUACAACACUUAAAUGCAACAAACAAAUAACUCUCUAGCUAAAGCAUUUAAAUGCAACAACAAAUACGAUCAAGAUCGCAACUAAGGUAACAAUGGAUCCAACAGCAUAAUGAUACCAAGCCUCACUAUCGAUGGCAUAUUUUCUAAUCUUUCUAAUCUUCAAGCGCAUUUUCUCCAUCUUCAUCUCGUGAUCAUCGACGACAUCGGCAACAUGCAACUCCAAUUCCAUCUUCUCCCCCUCAAUUCUUUCAAUUUUUCUUUCAAGUACUCGUUUUCUCUUUCAACUAAAUUUAACCUCUCGGCAAUAGGGUCGGUUGGAAUUUACGGUUCACAUACCUCCUAGAAAAAAUUUCUAUGUCAACUUGAUGGGCAUAAUUUGUCAUAAACACAAAAUGCAACUAGUUUUAAAAGAGAAUAUACAUACCACACCCGAAUCAUAACAAGGACUAGGGCCGACGGGGACGGAUAUCAAAACCAUAGCACUAUAUGUAUAACAAACAACGUACGGGUAAGAUAAUUAUACGAGUAACUAUAUAUCCAAAUCACACAAACAUCAAUUUUUAUAUAAAAUUUCAUGAACUAGAGGCUCACCACAAGGUGGUGCCGGCGACGGGACGGUGCGGGCGAUCGACGGUGGCUACGAUGGAGAUUUAGAAGGCACUAAGUAAACCACACCUACAUAUGCAAACUAAGUGUUAUUUUUGACCUCAAAUUGCAUAUAAAUCAAAUACUAGCACAUAUAUAUAUAUAUCCUCCCAAAUUACUAAAAUCACAAAUUAAUCACUAUAUAAAGCAUUGCAAGAGCUAAUCUAGCAAUGAGAGAUGAAAGGACAAAGUUGCUAACCUUUGUGAUCAUUUGAAUGGAUGGGGGCCUUCAAAUCUUGACAAAUUUUGGGCAAAAUGUGUGAUGAGCUCGAGAGGAAGAGGGGAAGAACAGAGAGGAGAGGGGAAAGGGGAAUAAUAGAGUGAGCUUGGGUGGACGAAGGGUCUAUGUAGGACGACCUUUAGUACCGGUUCGUGCCAAGAACCGGUACUAAAGGGGCUGGAGGGGCACCUGUCUGACAACAUCCUGCCACCACUCUCAUUAGUACCGGUUCGUUGCACGAAGCAGUGCUAAAGGUUCGCCACGAACCGGUACUAAUGAAAGCGGCCCGGCUAGCCGUUGGAACCGGCACUAAUGUAUACAUUAGUGCUGGCUCAAAUACAAACCGGCACUAAUGUGCUUCACGUUUGACCCUUUUUCUACUAGUGUAUAUGAUCAUCUCAAAGAGCUCAAGUUGUACUGAAAGCUCAAGUUGGACUAAAACUCACUCGAUAACUGAAAAUCCUAGGGCGAGGGGUGGGAUCCAGGGUGCUGCUAGCAAUGAACGGCCUGGGGUGGUGGCGUUGAACGGCCUGGAGUGGUGGCUGUGAACAGCCAGGGUGCUCCGGUGGCAGAGCCCCACCGGAGAUGGUGAUGCAAGCAGGAGGUCGGGAAGCAGUGGUGCCGGUGGUCGGGGUCGUCCAAUGCACAUGGCACACCAGUACAGGAAGUUGAUUCAUCACCCAUCCAUAGUUUUUUUCCUUUUUGGAAUCCAUUGAACUGAAAAAAGCUACAUGUGAGCUGAAAGUAUGAAAAUAACAUAUCUUUGAAAGAAUAAAGAACUAGCUUUAACAUAUCUAUGAAAGAAUACACCUCCGAGGAACUAGCUUUGAACAUAUCUCUGAAAGAAUAGAGAGCAUGCAAAGUUCAAGGAAAGAAUAAGCAAAAUGGCACACUAGUACGCAGUAGUACGAGUCCAGUCAUGUACGUGCUAGUAUUAGGUUUGAAUAGUAGCUAGAAUUGAAGUUCAGGUAACCAUGGCACACACAUCAUACAGUUUCAAUCAUGUAUGCACACACUGUAAUAGUAGCUGCAAUUAAAGUUCAAAUAACCACGGCACCCAUAACAGAACAAGAAUCAGUGUAGCAGCUAGGCAAGCAAGCUUCAUCAGCAUGAAUACACAUCAGCGGCAAGCUAGAACACGCUAGUAGGCUGUAGAAGUCUCCUUGUAAUUUUUCAAACAGAAGUGCUUUAGUUCAGUUCAGUAGUAAGGCAUGGAAAAAGAAAAGCAAUGGAAUAAACUAUAACUGAGCCAAAUAUGUAAUUUCAACAAACUAGACCUCAUUGCUUGACUUCAGUAGUAAUACACGAUCAUCAGUUCAAUAUAAACAUACUGAUGUUAACAUCAUCGUACAUCCAUUGCCGGUUCAUCUGCGUGCAUUAUAUAUAAUUAAGUGUGUCAAAAACCAUUACAGAACAGCAUGAAUAUAGAAGACCAAAUUAAUAGGAGUUCAUCAUCACAUUAAAACCAAAGUACAAUAGUGAUCAAAUGUUAUUACUGAAAAAAUAAAUACAUAAAGUUCAUACAUAUAUAUUUCUCAUUGAAAAACAUAUAUAUAGCUCUCUAGAGCAUCUAAUUAAACCAUACAUUGAAACAAUGCAAAAACAUUUCAAUGCAACAACAAAUGCGAUCAUAAUCGCAACUAAGGUAACAAUUGAUCCAACGGCAUAAUGAUGUCAAGCCUCGGUAUGAAUGGCAUAUUUUCUGAUCUUUCUAAUCUUCAAGCGCAUUGCAUCCAUCUUGAUCUUGUGAUCAUUGACGACAUCCGCAACAUGCAACUCAAAUCCCAUCUUCUCCUCCUUAAUUCUUUUCAAUUUUUUCUUCAGGUAAUUGUUUUCUUCUUCAACUAAAUUUAACCUCUCAACAAUAGGGUCGGUUGGUAUUUCCGGUUCACAUACCUCCUUGAUAAAAACAUCUAUGUCACGUUGGUCGGCAUAAUUUUCAUACACACUAAAUGAACAAAAUAGUUAUAAAAUAUAAUAUAUACCACAUCCGAAUCAUAGACAGGACGAGGGCCGACGGAGGCGGAUACCAAAACCAUCGCACUAUAUAAUAACAAAAAAUAAUAAAAGUAAGAAAAUUAUACAAGUAUCUAUCUAAAUCAUACAAGUAAGAACUUUUUUCUUUUAGAAGAUAAGAACAAGAGGCUCACCACGGUGGUGCCGACGACGAGAUUAGCACGGGCGAUCGACGGCGGUGAGGACGGGGACGGGACAGGAUGGACCGCCAAACCUAGACAAAUCUUAAGGAAAAUGGAGUUUGGACAAGGAGCUUCGAGAGGAGAAAGCUUAAGUAUGUCUCGGGCAUUUCACCGAACACCUCAUGUGCAUAGGAGGUGAGCUAGAGCACCACAAAGCUCUCCCACGGCCGGCCAAAAAAUAGAGCAAUGCACUGCUCUGCUCGCGGGCAGGGGGAUAUAUAGGCCUCUCUUUAGUCCCGAUUUGUGGCUAGAACCGGGACUAAAGGACCCCAUUUGGUCCCAGUUCCAACCACCAACCAGGAUUAAAGUUUGUGGGCCAGGACCGAGGCCCAUUGGUCCUGGUUCGUGUCUGGAAGCGGGACCAAAGGGGUCAGACGAAUCGGGACCAAUGGCCCCCGAGGCCCGGCCGGCGCCCUGGCUUUACGAACCGGGAUUGAUGCACCCAUUAGUCCCGGUUCAUAGGGAAUCCGGGAUUAAUGCCCUUUUUAGACCUGGACCAAAGCCCUAUUUUCUACUAGUGUUGUAGGCCUCGCUCACAUGAAGUAAGAACGGUCGGUGACGAUGCCUCAUAAAGUCCAUGUGGUGCAAUCAUAGUUGGUGGUGCAGGGGAAGAAGUAACCUUCUUUGAUGGGGAUUCCAUCACACGCUUGUUCGUCAUGUAGACGCGUCCUCUUAAUUUCUGUUCAGCUUUACAGGCAAGAUGAAACAAAUGAUCGAUAGAAUAUAGUCUUCAUGCAUUAUUAUGUCUUGUAUAUCAUGUAUAUCAUGCAUUAAUCUAAGCCCAGAUACUGAAUCAAGCGAGAGGGAACUAACGAAAAUAUAAUAGCUCCAAGUAGCUAGAUAUAAGUGAGGUAUGAACAUAGUGUAUGGCAACCAAGAGCAGACAAAAAAAUCCAACACUUAUCACUUAUAUGAACAGAGCAGGCUGAACAGCAAAAGAGAUUGUUCAAAAGAUGCUAGGUGGCCAAAACUUUGCAUCAACUUUUUUUUUAUUCUUUUUUCUGAAUUUUUUUUUUCAACUUUCAGGCCGGCCGCUAGUAGAAGUCACGUACACAAAUAUCUGACCAAAUAGGUAUGAAGGGGUGGCCGGGGCACGUCCGGUGUAGCCCAUCGGCGCUGUCCAGCGGUAAAAGAUCUCAUGCCAUUGCUGAAAUUCACGUCCCCCACCCAGGGCAUUUUGGUCAUUUCGCAUAUGUGCCCUUUUCCGAUUCUCUGCCUCCUCCCCCAAUGAGUACCUCCCUCAUUUUUCUCUCCCUCACAUCUCUCUCGAGAGAGAGCCGCCGCUGCCAGUCAUCCUCCCCGUCCGCCGCCGCCGCCGCCAACCAUCCGCAGCCGCGCCACCAUCCCCUCCCCGUUCCACUCCCAUAACUGAGCCAGCCAUGGCCGGGAAGAAGUGCAAGUCCUCUUCCUUCCUCCCUCACCCCUGAUCUGAAUCCUCUCCCGAAACCCCAGCUAGCUGCAUGCAUCCCAUAUGGCGCCGCCCAGCUCGCAGCCCUCGGCCGCCGAGCCAUCGCGAGGCUCCUCGCGCAAGCGCACGACCUCCUCAAAGGCUGCGCCCGAGGCCGACCUGGAGUUCACCGUCACCAAGGAAAGGUAAGGGGAGGGGAGGGGAUGGAAGGGAUCGAGCGACCAGGUGAGGCAGCGCCCAGAUCCACGGGGCCAUCGACACUUCAUCAUCGACCUCAUCCGCGACCGUCCUCGAGGUCGGCCAUGGUGGUCUGGCCCGGCAACAGCCAUGGAAGGAGACGCCCGAAUCCCUGGCCCUCCAAGUACGCGCCUGCUGCAGGCCAUCUCCGGCGAGCUCAUCCACAGAUCUCCAACUAUGGUGCGUGCGCAUGAUACCUAAACCCCUUGUCUUGUCAGUUUCUUCAUCUCCCUUCCUUGUGAUUCCUUGGUUUGUUUUGUGCGCAGUUGCUCCGAUCUGGAAGAGGUGGUGGAGCUUUUGUUGUUGCUGCUGCAGGUGGACGAGGCACCACCCCCUCUUUCUACUUCUGGACACAACCUGGUGGUGAUUGCUAAUUUCAGUGUUAAAAAAUUCAGUUCAAUUCAGUCAUGUUCUUUUCCUUUUGUGGGGAAAUUCAGUCACAUUCAAUGUUCAACUUUUAGAGUUAACAAACUGUUGUUAUGACCACUGUGGUUUAGAUGUUCAGAAAUUCAGACAAGUGGUAUGAUGAAAUGAGCCACCUUUUAACCCCCUAGUAAACCUACCGUGAACGUUUAGAGAGCCAAUGCAGGGAGGUGUGGACAUUUUACCAUGUUCAUAGGAAGAAAUCAACAUAAAAUACACAGCUUGUAGAUGAUUCGUCAACCACCAUCAAACACGACUUGUAACUUUCUGGACUAAACUGAACCGUGCAAUUGACUCAAAAUAAAACUAAACCGUGCAAUUGACUCAAAAAUAAAUAGUAAAUAUACUUUGGUUGUGUCUGCAGAAUUGCAUUAUGGAAAGAUGUGUGUGAGGUUACCCCAUCGCCACUGGUUCCAACUUUGUCCAUCAUGUCGCUCUGAUGAGAAGACCUCGUCCAUGUUUCAUUAAUAGGGCAGAGUGCUGCUGAAGUAUCUAUGUUGAACAAUUAUAACAGUACCAAGUAAGUUUGCUCCAAUUGCAUUUGAUGCAGAAGGCACAACACCGCCAUCAUGCGUCAGGUUCAGUAGAAGGCACGACACCGCCACGCUCUCCUCCACUACAACGCCACGCACCCGGUAAUUAAACAUGCUUUCUCUUCAUUCAAGUAGUAAGAGNNNNNNNNNNNNNNNNNNNNNNNNNNNNNNNNNNNNNNNNNNNNNNNNNNNNNNNNNNNNNNNNNNNNNNNNNNNNNNNNNNNNNNNNNNNNNNNNNNNNNNNNNNNNNNNNNNNNNNNNNNNNNNNNNNNNNNNNNNNNNNNNNNNNNNNNNNNNNNNNNNNNNNNNNNNNNNNNNNNNNNNNNNNNNNNNNNNNNNNNNNNNNNNNNNNNNNNNNNNNNNNNNNNNNNNNNNNNNNNNNNNNNNNNNNNNNNNNNNNNNNNNNNNNNNNNNNNNNNNNNNNNNNNNNNNNNNNNNNNNNNNNNNNNNNNNNNNNNNNNNNNNNNNNNNNNNNNNNNNNNNNNNNNNNNNNNNNNNNNNNNNNNNNNNNNNNNNNNNNNNNNNNNNNNNNNNNNNNNNNNNNNNNNNNNNNNNNNNNNNNNNNNNNNNNNNNNNNNNNNNNNNNNNNNNNNNNNNNNNNNNNNNNNNNNNNNNNNNNNNNNNNNNNNNNNNNNNNNNNNNNNNNNNNNNNNNNNNNNNNNNNNNNNNNNNNNNNNNNNNNNNNNNNNGUGCCAGCGAACCCAGGCCACACCCAACGCGCUGGGGGGCUGCUAGGGCCGCCGGCGGAAGCAACAGCCAAUCAUAUUCCUCCAUGUAUCAUUUUUUUCUGGUCCACUCAUUCACUUUUUGCCUGGCGACUGUCCUGGGGGCACCAACGGCUGGGAAACCGUCCUCGCGUUUCAUUUGGCGAAGGUGUUUUGCCCCCCAGGACGUGCUAUAUUUGGCCCGGCGAUUGUCCUGGGGGGGGGGGCUCCAACGGCUGGAGAUGCUCUAAUUCAUUGUAUUUGCAUGUUUCCAGCAGCCAUGUAUCAAAAAAAGCUUCAGCUUUGGGUUGUUGAUUUAGCAGAAUCAAUCAUUAAUUGUUCUGCUAUAUAUGUUCUUAACCAUGACAACCUGAUUAGGCUCUUAGUUUAUUAUGGUCUUUGUUCUGGGUGGAUCUCUGACUAUUCUGGGUGGGCUUGAAUCUCUUCUUUGUUUCUUCAUCUCCUCUUAUUCUGAUUCCUGCGUUUGUUUUAUGUGAAGGUUGCUCCGAUGAGGACAAGCUGCUUCUGCAGGUGGAUGGGCCCUCAAGGCUGCUCUGCCUAUUCCUCCUGCUACCCCCACACGUGGUGAGCCCCACCCGUUCUCGAGCUACCCCUGCAAAUCUGAUGUGAUGUGCACAAAAUACUUGCAAUUGUUCUCGACACAAGAGCAUGUCAUGUAUUGUUUUAUUUGAAUGUGCAAUUUCAUUGCUUCUGUGUUGUUUGAUGCUUGCUUCACAAGAGGGAAAUCAUGGAUAUAAACUGCGCUUCCUUUCAAGUUGAAUAGUAAUGAUCACCAUUUGGUUCCAUUUUCUCCUCUGCAUCCAGUGUUCACUCUCUCAUAGAUGUCCAUAUAUACACAGUUCUGAUCUCCUUUUUCUGCGGCUCCAUACAUCGAACACAAAGCCGUCGAUGCAUUGAGGGCUCAAUGUCGUCUCCGUCGGCUGAGCGGCAAGCCGGGGUUGGGCCUGCACACCGUCUAUCAGCACCCUCCCGCGUCUCCAUUCACGGAUCUGCAGGUCAACCCCUCUUCUCCUCCUAUCCACGCAUCUUCUUUUCCAGAGCUAGGUGUAUGGUUGCAUGGCAAUUUGUGUUUUGGGGCUCACCAUGUUCUGCUUGCCCUGGUUGGCCAAUGAGGCUUUCCUUUUCUGGUAAAGGCCAAAUGUACUAUUCUCUAUGCUUUAUAUUUUUGUAGUUCCUUUGUUUCCAUGCUUGUUUUUUGAUGGGGUGUAAAUAUAUGCUUUUUUGUUCCUUGUCUGGAUUCAGGUAGGGCCUAACAUUAUUGUUCCUUUGUGCAUGGAAAUGUUGGUGGUUUUGUUCCUUUGUAUAUGGAAGGGGGCCUUGAUUAGAAUUUCUAACGUUUGAGUUGUAAUUAGUGUUUUUGUUACACAUGAAAACAUAUGGUUGUUUGUCCAAUCACAUAUGAAAAAGAGAUGAUUGUUUGUCCAACAAUUUUCUUUCUCUGUGAUAGUUUUACUAGAAAUAAAGUAUAGUCACUAUUACAUCCUAUUUUAUAUCUUGUUGUGUCGUGAUAUCUGUAUAGACUCUGUCUACGUCCUUUUGAUAUUCCAAGUUUUGUUUUCUAUGGCUCAAUUAGUUACCCCGUAUCAAGAGAAAUUUAACUGGUAUUUGCGGUAGAGUUAGCUGAAUUCAUGAAGCAAUGAUUUAGUUAUUAUUAAAGCUGAAACACAACAUGUUUUGACAAAUGCAUUCUAAGUAAAGCCUCCAACUAACAUAACCAAAAACAUAUUCUUUAGGUUUAUCAUCUAUUGAAGUAUUAUGUAGAAUUUUAAAUCAUACGAGGCAAAGCAAAUGAGCUCUAUGCACUUUCCAUGUAGCACAGAACAAAAAUAAUCAUGUAUAUUUUGGAUGCACCUAGAUAUACUCAUCAGCAAGGCUGAGGUUAUAGGGCACUCACCCACAUUGUCGAUAUCUCCGUCACUAUGAUCACCCACAUGAUGGACAAUUCCCUUCUUUCUUUUCUCUGUGGCUAUUGACACUUAAUGCUAUUACUGUGUGCAUAUAUGUACUGUGAUCCAUUCUCAUUCUUCAUAUCUUGAGAAACUAUCUCAAGAUACUCGCGUUUGUGUUUUGGAGAAAGCCUAUUCUAUGAUUAAUAUAUCGAGUAUGGAUGGCGCGAUAUCACCUCUCUUUAUGAUGAUGUUCUUACAGAAUAUAGGUUUUAUGGUAACACGUCUUAGCCAACACCUAUACUGAUGCUCAGACCAGAUGAUUAUAGUCUCUCCUUGCUAUUUUUCUUGAGGUGUGUACAUCUAUCUAGACAAUUUAAUUAAAAUAUAUAUUCCAUACAAACCAUCAAUACAUGUUAGUUGACUUUGAAACUAAUCAGUAAAAAGGUUGUCCCUUUCGCAUUUUAUGGACAUAAAGAUUUGGUGUUGACUGUCGAUCUUCAGUUAACACAUGACCUUACAACCGUAGGGAGUGGGAAAAAACUUAUAUGUUUGGCACAUUUGAAGAACAUAUCAUAGUAACGAAGUUUUGGUAAACAAUGUCCUAGAUCUCAACCAUAUAGAAAUACUAAAUAUAUGUUUAUUUGUAUAUGGAUUAAUUAUACAGACUUAUAAAACCUUGUGCAGGGCACAUAAAAGAAAUUUGAAAUAACUAUUAUUUCAAUAUUUGCUUUUUCAGUUGAGCAUAAUAGUUUAUAGCCUGAUAGGCUUGGACAUAAUUGUCUACAUGUACUGCUCAGUAGGCGACAUCCUUUGGGAAAUUGAGGAUGUCCUCGUGCAUUUUCUAAAUACAAUUGGGGCAUAUCUGAGGAAUGAAGGGAGGAAUAAACUCGUGGGAGAGUUCGGUGCAGAGGAAGAAGAACAAGAUAUUAUUUAUUUCUUGUGUACAGUCAAGCUUGUGCAUUGUCCCACUGUAAGUUAUUUCAACAAUAGUAGUAACUGUUAUCUCUGGCCAUCUGUUGCGACAUUUUCUUUAACCACCAAUGCAUAUUUAUUUUCUUGUUAAUAACUCUCAUAAUUGCCUGCUACUGUUUCAGUUCUGGGGCCAGGCAACCUUGAAUCCAACGUCCACCUGCAGGCUACAUCUCAGGUAGGAUAAAAAGAUUGCAGUGAACUUGAUGGGUAUAUCAUUAUUGUUGCCUCCUAAUUUGUGUGAUGAGCAAAUGUGUAGAUUGUGUGUAAAUCCGAGAUGCCUAAAACGGUUGGGAACUGAACUUGUUACCUCGGUUCACUUUAAUGGCAUGUUAAACUCGAUGCACUUUCUGGACUGUGACAUUUUUCCUGAAAUUUUGGAAGUGACUGCUAAUGUAGUCUAAAUAGAGUGACUGAGUAGUUACUUUCUCACAAGAGUUGACUUCCCGUUAUUGGAGUACUUGCUAAGAUGGAUUGGUGGUUUUUAUGUUAGAUGAAAAAUAUUACAUCAAUCUUUACGGCUUUUUAUGGGCAAGUGAUUCCGACUCCAUAAUAAGGAAUAAUAUAGCCCUAGUGCUGUGAUAAUGUUAAAACAUUUACCUCUUUUAUCGGUUCAUGUUAUGUAUUUGCUGCGAAAAAAUGGUCUUAUAUCAAAUAAUAGCCUAGAGCUUUUGGAGUGUUAUUACUUGUAUUUGUUGCUUGGAUGUAUAAACCUUCAACAGACUGUCAAUUUUGCUUUUAUAUAAUCUGUUUGUUUAAGUCUGCUGCAUAUUGGUCAAAAGCUCAUGCUAAUUGAUGAUGUUAGGUGAUGAUCUUGUAUCUAACAGUGAUUUCUGAAUGCAUGCUAAAGAAAACUCAUGAACAUCAUGGCGCCUUGUUGAUGGGGUGAUCAAUAGCUACUAUAUUGGGACCCUGCACUUAAAUUGUAGGUCUGAUUUUGUUUCGGAGUUCUCCUGCUACCCACAAGCUCAGAUAGUUCUUUUGUUUGUGCAGGGGAAAUUGCAAAGCAUAUUAUGAAUUGUUACAAGAAACUAUUUCUGCUGUUUUGGUGCAAGGAUGUUGCUUUUUAGUAUGCUUCCCGUAUCUUGGUAUCUUGGAAUAAUAAACAGAUAGAUGUCGUGUACCAAGAUUAUUCCUUGUUGUUAAGAGGGAUACAAAUAUUAUACAAGAAUUUUUCUGAUGACUCCUAAAGCAUAUUUGGAUAUAUAGCAAAGUAUAUUGUCGCUUCCCUGUUAGUAAAAUGAUUAUGUUAGAAAUUUGGUUGGCAGCCCCUACAUUUGGCUGAUUGCUAGCUGACUGGAUUACUCAUGUUUGCGGACUCUGGUAACUUAUGCCUACCAAGAACUACAUGAAUUUUGUGUCUUGCUGCAGUGAACAUUACCAAACUAAUUCUAAAGGUGUUAUAAUCAUGUUUUCUUUUGCAUUAUCAACUUUUAACUUUUGUCAUUUGUUGACACAUUCCUUUUGCAUUAUCAACUUUUAACUAUUGUCAUUUGUUAACAUGAUUAUUUAGCAUGUUCACUAUGCGAGUAGUAAUAAUAGGAGCUAUUUAUUUGCCAGAUAACUAACACUAUUCAUAAGGCAUAAGGGUUAGAAAAAGAACUGUAUUCUUUUUGUGAUGAUUUUCGUAUCACUACAAGAAAUGUGUUAAUACAUGACGGAUGCAAACUGUCACAGGUGUGCGCAAAACCGUCAAGGUAGCUCAGCCAUGACGGAUCCAAAAUUCAUCAUGUAUAUCGCGUCAUAAUUUGACCACCAUGCAGUCCAUGACGGAGCGCCAGAACCGUCAUGGAUCCAUGACGGUUCUUGACCGUCACAGCUUACUAUCAAAUAACGGCGUUAACCAUGCAUUCCACAUCAUCAUCUGACGUGGCGACCAACUUGGAAGCCCAUCUAGUAGUUUGCCCAAUUAGAAGUUUGGCCCACUUAAUUUCCACUCUAUCCAAGACCAUCGGCCCAUGUUUUCAUCAACCCAUAAGAAUAUUGGCCCAUUAAAUUUCAGGACGGUCCGAGGCCCACUAAUUUUGGUCGAGACAUUAGCUCGUCACUUUGUUUCUCUUGGUCCAUGUAAACUUUGAUGUAAUAAGAAUUUUUCUAAUUAUAUAUGCUCAUUGCCUUGUAAAUAAAUAUGGAAAUUGCAUAAACAAACCAAAUAAAUAACAUUUUUUUCAAUCAAAAGGAAGAAAUACACAACAAAAAACUUGAAAUUACGGAUGUGUUUCCAGAUCUGGCCUACUACUCUCCCUAAAGCUAUACAAUCUGCAGUCACCAUAUCAAGCGUCGGCCAGCGCUCGCGGGACGUCAAGAGGAGUUCAUCGCCAUGGCUUUUCUGGCCACAGAUCUGGCCGUGUCCGCUGGUGUCAUCGAAGGGAAACACCAUGUCCACCACCGUCUCGCGUCGACCCAUGCUCCUGUCCAGCUGACCUUCUCCACCGAUAGGGACAAUGGAAUCGUGGUUACCUGCGCAUCGAUGAACCAUACAGCACCUCGAAUAAUCAAAAGAAAAGGGAAGGGAGAAUCUGAAGCAACAGGGAGGGGAGAAUCUGAAUCGACAAAUGACUCAACCUGCAAAACUCGACGGACAAGCUAACGGCGAGGCCGGCAAAGGCCAUGAACGUAGGCCCGCACUGACGAAUGGGCUGCAGUGGCCCAGCAUGGAGCAGCCCCCGGCGGCGGCACGGCGCAGCCACCCGGCCAUCGCAGCACAACAUAACCGCCGCCAAGCCAGGGGACGGGGACGUGCGGCCAAAGCCACCGCCGCCAAGCACUCACAGGGGCCCAGCAUGGCAACCCCAGAAGGUGUGGAAGCAGCCUGAAUGUCACGGUGGCGAUGCUUUCCUCUGUGUGGCCUCCAAGCGCCUCGACCUGCACUCAAAUCGGGAGAACGGGAGGCUGAGAUGAGAGUUAACAUCGAAGAAGGAAGAAGGAAAUAAAGUCCGAGCGGCGUCCGAGCGCAUCAACCUCAACAUCCAUCGCCUGCUCAUAGAGAUGGAAGGAGGCAGAUCUGGACGGAGGAAGAGGAACGACAGGUGAAGUCAUUGCUCGGUGGAAGAGAAUAUAGCUGGCCAAACGGGCCGGGAUAGUUGGGCCGGCCCGGUAGCACGGCCGGCACGGCACGGCACGUGCUAAACGGGCCAGGCCCGGCACGCAGCACGCCAUGGGCCGUGCCUGGGCCUGAAAGGCGAGCACGCGGGCUGGCACGGCACGGCCCGAUUAACUUUUUUAUAUUUUUUUAUGUAUCCUAAUAUGGGCCAACAGGUAAAAAUAGGCUAAAAACGCUCAAUGCGCAAAAUAGGAGGUAGAUUAGUGGGCCUGGCGUGCUGGUGGGCCGGCCCGAUUAGCAUAGGGGUCGUGCCUGGGCUGCAGGCUGCAGCACGCGGGCUGGCACGGCACGGCCCGUAUAAUAAUCGUGCCUAGGCGGGCCGGGCCGUGCCAGGCACGAUUAGGAUGGGCCGUGCCGUGCCGGGCCGGGCCGGCCCGUUUGGCCAGCUAUAGAAGAGAAGACGGCGGCGUGUGGGGUCUAGGAUAAAGGAGUGGAGACAGAGAGACCGUGUGCUCGCCGUCGGAUCUGCGAGAACGGGCGGCUAGGAUGCAUGAUCCGCAUGAUGCUCGGAUCAACCAAUCAGGAUAGAGCAUUUGUAUCACGCCGGAUCCACGCCUCCUCGGCUGGGAAACCCAAGUGGGCCGGCCAGGAAUUCUGAACAUUUUUAGUUUUGUGUUUUCUUUUUCCCUUUUCCCUUAUUUUCUAUACUCCCUUUUUCUUACUGAAUCAAUAACUCCUGAAAGUCAGAUUUUGAGAAUCUCGCCCUGAACGCCUUGUCACCACUGGUCCAGGCGCAUGCAACUUGGCGCAAGAAUAUCAGAGAUGUCACACAUUUUUCGUUCGGAAAAGAAACGAUACAUCAAGAGCACACACGUAUCCCCUUUGCCCACCACACACUCCCCCUCCCCCCUCGCUUCGUAUUUUUCUCUCCGGUGUCCACGACGACGUGUACCGUCUCGGAGCAAGGGACGGAGGCCAAAGCCCAGAGNNNNNNNNNNNNNNNNNNNNNNNNNNNNNNNNNNNNNNNNNNNNNNNNNNNNNNNNNNNNNNNNNNNNNNNNNNNNNNNNNNNNNNNNNNNNNNNNNNNNNNNNNNNNNNNNNNNNNNNNNNNNNNNNNNNNNNNNNNNNNNNNNNNNNNNNNNNNNNNNNNNNNNNNNNNNNNNNNNNNNNNNNNNNNNNNNNNNNNNNNNNNNNNNNNNNNNNNNNNNNNNNNNNNNNNNNNNNNNNNNNNNNNNNNNNNNNNNNNNNNNNNNNNNNNNNNNNNNNNNNNNNNNNNNNNNNNNNNNNNNNNNNNNNNNNNNNNNNNNNNNNNNNNNNNNNNNNNNNNNNNNNNNNNNNNNNNNNNNNNNNNNNNNNNNNNNNNNNNNNNNNNNNNNNNNNNNNNNNGUUUCACGGCGGUGGUGGCUGAGAGGAGAUGCGGUGAAGGGACUGCACAACACCGGAGCUUUGCGAGGUCCUACGUUGCCACUGGUGGUGGUGGUGGCAGGGUAUGUGGUUUGUUUGGAGCUCAUGUCAAGUUACAGAUAAAAAUGAGCCCCCCUCCCCCCAAAUGGCAAAUUUGUUUGCAGUGAUGGCAAGUUCACAUGGAGCCAUACUACAAAUUUUCCAUAUUUUUUAUUGAGGAAGAACAAUAUAUUGCCAUGGAAAAUUCAUACAUGGUUUCUUGACAUGUGUGGUAGAUGUGCUGGCAAGUUUUAAACCAAUAUUUGCCAUGGUUAAUUCAGUAUGUAGUUUUUGAUUUGGCGGUAGAGAUGUCAAGGCAAUUUUGCCUCCUCUAGUAUGCGGCGAUCGUCGCCCAAUUUUGGACGUAAGAACUCUCGAGGCCCAAUUUUCCAGCAAUUUUUAUCAGCUUCGCAACGUGGCUCUCAUUACACGCACGAGCUUUGCAACGUGGCCCGUGAAGUGGAGGUUGCUUUUGCAACACAUGUGGUGUUGCAUACCAAUCCCAUGACUAUGCAGCACGUGCCCGCGCCCCGGCUCGUUGCCUUGUCACUGUGUCGCGUUGGGACCCUCCCUAGCCACCACGCAUCAUCCAUCGCGACCUUGUCGCCGUCCGCCGCAUUGAUUCGGCCGGGGACGGAGAGAUCUACCGGCCCAGCCUAUCCACUGCCACGGUCAUCGGUGCCCCACCAAUGACAUGUGAACAACCACAACAAUCCCGGAGUCAACGACGACCACGUUUCUACACCACCAUCUCCGUUGAAAUUUUUUCUACAACAUCAUCUGUGUUGGAAAGGGUUAUGGAGCACUGCCUUUGUUGCAAUGGUGAGGGAGGGCAGGGCCACUAUAUUGAGCCAGAUCUAAUGGCUGCCGAGGCGGCAGAAAAGAUUUGCCGGCCGACGUGUAGUAUGUCCCACUAUUCUUUUCUGGAUUCGUUUUUCUGUUUUUUCCAGUUUUCUUAGAACUUUGUUUGGCAUUAUCUGAACUUUUUUUAAUAACACACGAAUUUUUCUUGUCGUGUAAUUAUAUAUUUUAAAAUGUAUGAACUUUAUAAAAAUACAUUCACAUUUCCUAUUAUAUUUGAAAUAAAAAAAUAAAAAAAGUUCAUGUCUACCUCGAAUUUGUUCAGCAUGUUUUUGGAAAAUGUUUCAUCGGUAUUAAAAAAUUGUCAACAUGUUUUUGAAAAAUGUUUGUCAUGCUUCAAAAAAUAGAAAACGUGUAUUUUAAAAAUAUUCAGUGUGUUUUAGAAAAUGUUCAACGUGUAUUAAAAAAAUAUUAUGUACAAUUAGUCUUACAUGUGUAUAGACUACAAACGUGUGUAACAUUUUUAAUACAUUUCCUAUGAUUAUUAUUAUUAAACAAUAAUUUUUAAUACAGGUUGAACAAUAUACAAUAAUUGUGUGCUUUUGGUCCUGAAUUAAGAUACGAAAUUUACAAAAUAAUAUUUAAUACAUGUUGAACUGUUUAAAUACAUGUAAAUUUUAGAAGAAGUUCACGUUCAUCCACAUAUGAUAAUAUUGUAUACACCGUUUUAUUAGAAUAAUAACAGUUGAGAUUUAAAGGUUCUUACGUAACAUCGUAAUAUAUAUGUGCCAGUAGUAUUGAACCGUCAUGUUGUCACGUUAUAUAUGAACAUAGGAGGCUGCAAAUAAUCAUGACGUACACACAUACCUUAAAAAAACAUGACGUACACACAUGUACACAAAUAAAAGCUCUAGGAAAAAAAAGUAGGAUGACGUAUGAAUUAGAAACGGAGACCUAGGGGAGGUAGAUCUAUUUAGUAUGAAAAAAUUCCAUACACACAUAGGACGUGAAGGCAGACUUCAACUUGGACACAUACAAGUAUUGCACAAGAAAGCACGCGUGAAGGAUAUUCAUUGGAAAAGAACCUGUACGUAAAUCUACCAACGAAAAGAAGGCAAUAAAUGUCUCCACAAUUAUUUCACUAAAAAUGUCUCCAUGACUUGGAUUUAUCUCCUUAUGCAAAACGAGAUCGAGUGACUACAAAAUUGGAAGUAAAAUAAAAUCAGCUAGAAGUUUCCUAAUCUCUUCACGGCUCUUUCUCUAAAAAGAAUUCUCCACGUACGACUCAGAUUUAUCUCUUUAUUAUAAGGAAAAAAAGAUUGACUGUCAAACGGUUGGAAAGAAAGAAAAAAUACGGCUAGAGGAUUUCCUAAUAUGAUUCGGAAAUUAAAUAAGGAAACACAUUUUUUUGCCGAUCUAUCUCCUUGUAGGGAAAAAAGAUUGAUUAUGAAUUUGAAAAAAAACGGCUAGAGAGUUUCCUAAUAUGAUUCGGAAAUUAAAUAAGGAAACGAAUAUUUCGGAUCUACUACCUCCGUCCCAAAAUAAGGAAACGAAUAUUUCGGAUCUAGUGUAGUGUUAAAAACGUAACUAGUGUAGUGUUAAAAACGUAGAAACGUUUUUAACACUACACUAGUGUUAAAAACGUUCUUAUAUUUUGGGACGGAGGGAGUACGUAUCUCCUUAUAGGAAAAAAAAGAUUGAUUAUGAAUUUGAAAAAGAAACUUAGGCUAGAGACUUGCGUACUACUAUGAAUAUUGGAAAUUAAUAAUUAAUUAAAUAAAGAAAUGAGUAUUGGCUAUUAUGCACGUUCGAUAGACUUCACACAAGACCAUCGAUCUCCGUGGAGACUAGGAGCAAAGGGCACAUUGGCUGGCCAGCUACGCAGAAAUAUAGUUGUUACUAAUGUUAACUGGACCAUUUCCUCAAAAAAGAAAAAGCUUAACUAGGCCAUGAAAGCACGUACAUGUGAGAGAGAAAACACUAGAUUAUCUAAUCACUGGCUAGACUUAGACUCACAUUAUACACCUGAGAUCAUCAUCGUUGGGCCAGAAUUUUGAGUGCCCUGCUGCACCUGUUGAUCAUGCUAGAGUAGAUCACCCAGAAACAUUGCAAUGCUAUUCGCUAAGGUAUUAAAAAAUAUUACGCACAAUUAAUCAUACAAGUGUAUAGACUACAAACAUGUGUAACAUUUUUAAUACAUUUCCUAAUAUUAUUAUUAUUAAACAAUAGUUUUAAAUACAGGUUGAACAAUAUACAAUAAUUGUGUGCUUUUGGUCCUGAAUUAAGAUACAAAAUUUAAAAAAUAAUUUUUAAUACAUGUUGAACUAUGUAAGUCCAUUUAAAUUUUAGAAAACGUUCAUGUCUACCUCUUCAAGGUACACAAUAAUGAAAAUAGAAUAGAGAUUUAAAAUACAAAAUAAUUGUAUACUACUACUUAUCGUAACUUUUUUAUGUGGGAAAAACUAAAUGCAAACUUGGACAAAAUAAAAAAGAAAACGAGUAGAAACUACUACAUGGUUGGCGUACAGGACCAGCCAAAUUAUAUGCGGUGCUAUAGGCGAGCGAUUUGCUCAAAAAAAAAGAGGCGAGCGAUACAUGGUAUAGUCUAUAUACGUUUCUAGCCCAUAGGUGGAUAAACACGGUUUGACCAGGUGGCUAGCUUGUUUGGUUUCAUAGCUGGAGGUCUUAGGUUCAAAACCCUUUGCUCACAAUUUAUCCUAGUCAGGACCUACAUGUUUCUUUUUGUUAUUUCUCUCUCUCUCUCUCUCAUACUAACAUGCGGGACCCACACUCUACUGCAAGCUGAUGUUAUUUCUCUCUCUCUCAUACUAACAUGCGGGACCCACACUCUACUGCAAGCUGACAUAGCAACAGUCUAGGCACCUCACGUAGCUUGGGACGUAGUGAGGACUGACAUGUGGGCCAAAGAAGUAAAAACGCACAACACAUUAGCACGAGCCAUCCAUGACGGUCCAGAUGAUGUAUAAGGGAAAUUUUUUGGUCCCGCUACUCAUUUCAUGACGGUUUUUGUGACGGUUCCUUUAUGUCUGUCAUAACGGGGGCUAUUGUUUUAGGAUCCAUUCUCAUCUUCCGGAUAUGUGACGAUUUCAGUGACGAACUCCGUAAACUGUCAUCGAUGGCACCCUAUAUGUGACGGAUUGUAGGAACGUCACCUGAAAUCCGUCAUGGAUUAACAGGUUUCUUGUAGUGUAUGGCACACUAUGGAUUCUUUGUAUAACACAUACUGUCGAUCAACAUGUGUUUACAACGUAGGGAGGAGCCGGGCGACAAGGCAGUCAGACCAAACUCUCUAUCCAUAUAUAUAGGUAGUCUGAUGUUAUGCCAUAGCCGAACCAUAUAUGUUUCGUGUACUGCUCUAUCAAUCUGGUCUUUUGGUAUAUUAGACUCUAUCCUUUGUAAUGAACUUAUUGUCAUGGGCGAUCAUUAUGACUGGAUCGUAUGGUAUGAAUCGGGUCUUUAUGCUUUGUGAUGAAAUAUCAUAUUAUCCUGUUCACCAGUUUGGUUUGGUUUUGAGCUAAAACGUAUAAAAAUACAUGGCUUACAACAAUGGAUAUAUGUGAUGAUAUAUUGAGUGAUUAAGCAUAAUUUUAGACUUUCGGUGCUGGACCAAUGGGAUGCAUGGGGUAAUUGAAUGUUUCUUCUUCACUUUAUUAUUAUCGGUUGGGAUCAGCACUCUCGCGCGAUCUAGUUAUGAUGAUGCUGCCUAUACAAAGCAAACCUACGUGGCUAUAAAGUGGAGCACCAUGCGAACAAGAAACUGGCGCUUGAGGACAAACACGAGUGGAACUGAUGUCUGAUGCAACACGGCGCUGCUGUACGCGUCAGGGCGGACAGCAACGACGUGUAACAGAUGGGAUGUCGGAUUGCACGCAAAACAAAGGAAUCCAAUGCAAUUUUGAUAGGUUUUUUUUCAGAUUAUGGACGAGCUUGCGGCGGAAACUAUGGUGGAGAAAAAAAAGUUUGAUCUAGUAGACAAAAUUUUCUCGUACAAAUCUAAACCAGCACUAUUUGUAGGAUGAUGCAACCAAAAAUUCAACUACGCAAGUACUAGAUGCAAAAAUUGCUAAAGGCUAAAAAGAUAGAUGCAAAGGAUGAACUAAUCUUUCUUUCUUUUUUGGCUUUUUUUGGGUUAUAGGACAUGAAAAAUAAACUAAUCUAACAAAACUGUAAAUCUCUCACCGAUGAAACUGAAAACUGACACCACUUAUGUGACGGCGGUCCGAUGUUUCGAUGAGAGUGAGGAUAACUAUCAAUUUGGUGGAUUCUGAUCUUGACGAUCCGGCUAUACAAUACCCGAUGAUAUGCCUCGACAAUCGCUAAACCAAUCUCCGAUGGUUAUUGACCUUGCCGUAGGCACGGUCAACCUGAACGACGAGGUUUGAGUUCCUGCAAGCAACUAAAGAGAAGAACAAAGGUGAAUUGCAAUCUGAAAUUGCGAAUGAAAAAUUAAGCACAUGAACUAGAUCAAAAGUUGGGGUUCCACUUUGGAUCUGAUAAGGCGGUAGUCCUACACGUCUCAUAGAUGCGAAAUUGUAGCAUGGCUAAACAAUACAAUAAAACCCACGUAAACCCUAGAAUAUGAUGACUAUUUAUUAAAGGCCGGCGUGGAGAACGCUUCAUCUAUUUUCUUGGAAGUCAAGACGGGCCUGCUAAUUGGCCGGACCCACACGCGAUCUGAUUUGAAAAUAAACUUCUCAUAUCAAUCUGGUGGCAAACUGCCUCGUCGGUACUAUAGGCCCAGAUGCGCAACACACAAGGCCAUGCAUGGGCGCAAAACCUAUCCGGCGCCCUCAGCGUCCGAUACCGUGUUAACGGUAAAGGGCGCAGAACGUCGUGAGAUACUUCGGUCCAUAUCCGGUGUGGGCGUUAGAGCAUUGAGAUAAGUACCAUGAUUCAAACCGGCAAUCGACUGGUUCAACACACACCACCUAACCAAUAGGCCACCUGCUGUUGACGUGGUUAGUUAUAGCUUUUCCUUCUUUUCUUCUUUGUACCUUCUUUUUUGUUUUUUUGUUGGAAUGAUUUUGUUAGUUUUUAUUAUUUUCCUUCUUAAUUUUUUUCAAUAAUACCAACAUUUUUCGUUUCAAUUUCGUGAAUUUUUUAAAAUUCGAUAUUUUUUUUCAAAAUUCAAUGAACUUAUUUGAAAAAAGAUGAACUUUUUACAAAUUGGAUGAACUUUUUUCAAAUUUGAUGAACCUUUUUUCAAUCUCGAUAUUUGUUUUCAAAUUUGCCAACUUUUUUGAAAAUUCAUGUACAAUUAUGAAUUCAUGAAUUUUUUGAUUUUUUUUAAUUUUGCAAAUUUUCCCUUUUUAGUUUUUUUAAACAGCAAUGGUUUUUUCGACAAGUGCUUGCAAGAGAAAAAAGGCUAGCAAAGGAGCGAGCAGCGACCGAUCGAGCCAGCAGCAGCGGUCGAGCGAGCAGUCGAGCGAUUAGCGAUCGAGCGAGCAGCGAUCGAGCGAGCCAGCAGCAGCGGCCGAGCGAGCAGUUGAGCGAUUAGCGAUCGAGCGAACACAUGCAUGUUGAUUCGAUAAUGCUCAAGUGUAAAUCUUCUGUAUUAAACUUCGCAUCUUCACCCGAGGUUUGUGCAUGUCUUCUUUAAUCCUGCAUAUAAAAUAUUGUGUUGUAUUUUUGUUUCGGAUAACAAAAUAAUAAUUCAUAUAAUUUCUAUUAGAAUUCAUCUGAUAAUUAUCUUUAAGCGUAAUAAUUGUUGUUAUAUCCGUACGGGCCAUGUUUAUAUCAGGUCGUUAAUCUUCUUCUUCUUGUCCGCAAGCCACUUCUUCACAUGCUCAUCCAAGAUGGUUUCGUCUGCCAACAUGAUCAUCGCAUCCACCACGUCCUGUGAGAGUUGCAAUCUCUCCUUCUCAAGCUCUAUGUAGCCAAAUGUCUUGGCCUUCUCGAGUUCCCAUUUGAUCGCCACCCCUUGGUGGUCCACCAUGUACGAAACUCCUUGCACCGCCGCCGCCUCCCUCUCUCGCUGCAGGCGUUGCCGCAACUACCGGGCGGCGUCCUCCGCCUUGCAAGUCGGAGCCGACGAAGGGUCGCCGACGGACAAGGUGGACUGCGUCUUCGUCGCGGUGGUGGAUCGGGACCGGUGGUGAGGAUUGGGAGCAAGGGUGGAGGACGGCGAGGGUUUGGGUGCGGCAAAAGUUGGAGGGCGGCGGGAGGAGGAGAAAGGGUUUGGUGCAUUUGGCACAAUUUUCGAUGGGGUCGGGCUGACGGGUCCGACGUGGCGGGCGCGCCCGGGCGCCCCAUAUUUGGGCUGGAUAUGAGGGGUGUCAGUCAGCCCAGGCGUUCGAGGCCCGUUUAAGGAGCCCGUCUGGAUCGAAAAAUCGUGACCGGGUGGCCCACCCGGGUGUAUGAGCCAGGCUUGAGGUGCCCGACUGUAGAUGCUCUAAUCAUCUAGAUCCGACGCUCAAAGGCUCCACCCUUCCCCACGGCUUGGGUUCGGGCGCCUCCCCAAAACUUCGUUGGGAUCCGCCACAACCGGCAACGGCGAGGCCAGAGGUGGCCGGAUCCGGCACAGGUUGGUCUCUCCCCUCCUUCUUCGCCCACCCUCUCCUCCUUACCUCACGCCACUUGUCUUCCCUUUUUCGCAGGUCGCCAUGGCGCGGACGGCGAUGACGGCAGGAGGGGCACACACAUCCGUGGAAUGGGACGCCGCCAUGGAGAUGGAGAUCGUUCGUCACACCACGCAGAGGCCCCAUGGAGCCUCCCUCCUUCGGUGACUUCUUCUCAGGCCCCACCCACUACCUCUGCCCUCCCCCCUCCCCUACUUUGAGUUGCACCAUGCUUUGUUUCAGAUUCAUCCACCCAUGGAUGAUACAUGGCAAGUUAGGGGUAGUUGCAGUUUGAGGUUAAUCCCUUGAUUGGCUGCUAUUUAGGGUUGAUUAGAUUAGUUAGCUCAGUUGGCUGCUAGACUUUAGGAGUGCAUACAUGGGUAUGACGUGCUCUGCACAUUUAGGAUUGAAGUAUUGUGCUGCAGCACUCAGUGACGUUAAUUUAGGGCAUUUCAGUGUCAGUUUCACUAUAUUUCGGGGGACAUUUAACAGUGCAAUUUCAUGGUUAUUACAGUGUAAUUUCAAGGUUCUUGCACUGUAAGUUCAGAGAAUUACAAUGUUAGUUUAUGUGAAUUCCCGUGCAUUUUACUGUGUAAUUUAAGUGCAAUGGAAAUUAUAGUGUAAAUUCAGUGUAAUUUACUAUGUAAAUUUACGGAAAUUACACUGUAAUUCGUGUGCAACUUUUAGUGUAAUUUACACUGUAAUUUCAACGGGUUUACAGUAGAGUAAUUUAAUUGUAAUUACAGUGUGCACUUUAGAGCAAUCAUACUAUAUAUUUAGUGAAUUUAAAGUAUCACUCCAUACCUUUCCGGUUUGUCUUUUUUCUCUACAAG